rnacentral:lncRNA from 1 species
UAAACCCUAGGUUAAAUUAUUGCUAACAUAAGCUUUAUCGAGUUACCAGGAUCUCAAAAAUGUAAAAAUCAUUAAAAACGGGGCUUGGAAUCACUUACUAUGGAGCUUGGAAGCUUGAAACAAACCCUAGCUAUGGAGAACCCUUGAAAUUUCGGCCUAAUGAAGAAGAUGGACAAAAAUUGGGUUUUAAUUUUGUUUUUAAUUCAUUUUAAUAACUAAAUGACCAAAAUACCCUUACUACUAAACUUUCCAAAAAUUCCUUCCAUGUCCUAAAUUUGUCCAUGAACUUAAAAUUGGUAAAAUUGCUAUUUAAGACCUCCUAAUAAAUAUUUCAAAGCAAUUUCAUACUAAAAACUUCUAGAAUACAAGUUUUGCAACUUAUUCGAUUUAGUCCCUACUUUCAAUUUAAGCACUUUAGGCAUAGAAUUUCAUCACGAAAUUUUCACACAAUCAUGCAAUCAUAUCAUAAACCUCAAAAUAAUUAUAAAAUAAUUAUUUCUAUCUCGGAUUUAUGGUCACAAAACCACUAUUCCGAUUAGGCCCUGAUUCGGGAUAUUACAGAAAUCCUUAGUAACGAGCCGAGCUUUGUGUCGAUCAAUGCUGCCAUCAGGUUUAAAAUUUAUGAUGAAGAUAUAUUUUCAUCCUACAGUUUUCUUCCCACUAAGUAAAUCUGAGACUUCCCAAGUUUCAUUUGCCUUGAGAACCCUCAUUUCUUCCAUCACAGCUUUCUUUCAUUCAUCAGAUUCAAGAGCCUCUUCUAUAUUUUUUAGUGUUUCUACAGAAUCAACAUUAGAUACAAAAUCUCUAUAAGACUUAGAUAAGUUUCCAUAAGACACAAACUAUGAAACAGUGUGUUGAGUGCAGCUUCUUGUGCCCUUUCGAACAGCAAUUGGAAGGUAGAUGGAUGGCGUUAAAGGUGAGACUUCUAUUUUAGAAGUCCUUGGUUGAGGAUGAACUUGGCACUACUAUCUUAUCUUCAUGAGGACACUGUAGUCGAGAAUAAACUCGUAGUUCUAGAGCCUAUUCUUACUGCCUCUCCAGAUCAAGUGGCUGUCCUAUUUCUAUUUCUUGCUGCACAGGAAAACCACUGUCUAAAUCUGGAACUACGAUAACACCCUGAUUUGUAGGCUUGGUAAUGGUGGUAGGAUCAAGAGGUAUAAUAAAGAGGGUGUUAAGAGUCUCAUCUUCAUUGAGAGUCUCCCCCUAAAAAUGAGCUACUGUAAAGUAUGGUUCAUUCUAAAAAAAGGUGACAUCCCGAGAGAUAAACAAUCGACGAAAGGUAGGUGAAUAACACUUAUAGCCUUUUUGUGUUGGAGAAUAGCCAAUGAAAGUACAAGUAUGGGCUCGAGGAUCAAGUUUAGAUUGAUUUGGUUGGUGAUUAUGGACAAAAUCUUUGCAACCGAAGAUUUUGGGUGGAAGAUUGGGAACGCAAAAUAAGGGAAAAGCCUUUUGAAGGAUAUUUAUAGGUUUUAGGAAAUUUAGAACCUUGGAUGGUAGUCGGUUUAUGAGAUAGCAGGCUGUUAGUACAGCUUUUCCCCACAGGUAUUUUGGGACCCCCAUGGUGAACAUUAGUACACGAGCCACAGCAAGGAGAUGACGAUUUUUCUCUCGAAAAUCUCAUUUUGUUGAGGAGUGUCAAGACAAGAACUUUGGUGUAUGAUGCCUUGUUCAGCAAGAUAAGGACUCAGGACAGAAUUAAAAUAUUCUCUCCUAUUGUCAGUAUGGAGAAUAUGUAUGGUAAAGUUAAACUGGGUUUGAAUCAUUGAAUGAAAGUUUUAAAAAACUUUAGGUGUUUCUGAUUUUUCUUUGAGAAGGUAAACUCAACAAAUCCUAGUGUGGUCAUCAACGAAAGUUAUGAACCACCUAGCCCCUAUAAUAUUUUUCACUCGGCUAGCUCCCCAUAAGUCACUAUGAAUUAAAGAGAAUGGUUGGAACUAGUUAUAAGGUUUCAAUGGGUAUGGUACAUGGGUGUGUUUGGAUAAUUGGCAGAUUUCACAUUUCAAGGAAUCAACAUUUUUAUUUCUAAAUAACAGUAGAAGGUGUUUCUUCAAGUAUAAGAAGUUCGAAUGUCCUAGUCUACGGUGCCAUAACAUAAUUGUAUCUUCCUUGGAGAUAGAUAGAGCCAACCCUUCUUGUCCACUGUCUUUAUUCCAAAUAUAAAGACCGUCAUCAACUUUAGCAGUGCCAAUCAUCCUCUCCAAUUUCUAUUCCUGUACCACACAACCAGUUGCAGAAAAUUCAGCAAGGACACUUUCAUCCUUAGUUAGUUUACUGAUUAAAAGUAAAUUACAGGAUAGGUUUGGAACAUGUAACACUUCAUGAAGAGAAAAUUUUUUUGUUAAUUGUAUUUCUCUAACACCAGCCACAGGUGAGUAAGAGCCAUCAGCAACGCGGAUUUGGGACUGAUUAUGAUAGGGUGUAUAGGUGUGAAACAAGGUGGAGUUACCUGUCGUGUGAUCGGAGGCACCCGAAUCGAGUAUCCAAGAAGAUUGAUUGUUAGGUUCAAACAUAUUGUUGAGGGCAAUACCUUGAGUGGCUAGGGAUCCUUGAGCAGUAGUAGUGCCUAAUAUCUUAUGAAGAGCCUCAAGUUGAUUUUUGGUUAGACGAAUAUCAAGAGUUUCAUUUGCAGCAGUGAAGGUGUUAGAGGAUACUAGUGUAGCCUUAUUGUCCUUCUGAUUUUUUCCCGGAUAGCCAUGUAGUUUGAAGCAUUUUUCCUUUGUAUGUCCUACACGGUUACAGUGGCUGCACCAUGGCCUGGUUGAGCCUGAAUCAUUCCCAGCACAUGGCUUUUGUGGUUGUGGGCCUCUGAAGAUAAAGGUCGAGUUUUCAGUGGGACAGUAACCAACAGUUGUCACAGGUUUAUAUUCUUUUAAAUCCCCCAACAUGACAAGUUGACGAUUUUCUUCUCUUCUAACUUCUACAAAUGCUUCACCAAUGGUUGGUAGAGAGGUUCUGCCUAGAAAUCAACCACGGACCUCAUCAAGUUCUCGAUUUAGUCCUGCCAUAAACUCAUAGAGAUGUUCCUUGUUGAGGUGAGCCAUAAACUUGGUGUGUUCCUUGCCUUCUCCCAAGUCUGCCUCAUAGUACAUGUCCAGUUUCUGCCACAAAAUUUUUAAGUUAUUGUAGUACUGAGUUACUUCAAGUGUUCCUUUUCAGAUAUCCUUCAAUUUCAGUUUGAUCUCAAAUACUUGGGAGGCAUUUCCAAGAUCCGAGUAAUUUUCUUUAAUUGCGUCCCACAUAUCUUUUGCAAUUUUGAAGAAGAGGUAGGUGCGACUAAUAUGGCCUUCCAUUGAAUUGAUUAACCAAGCCAUUAGAAUCAAGUUGUUAAGUUCCUAGGUGCUAUAAGUUGGGUCUGUUGUGGCUGGUCGUGGGAAGUCUCCAUUAAUAUACCCUAGUUUUCCAUGACCACGGAUCACCAUAAUGACCGAUUGGGACCACUGUAGGAAAUUUUUCCUAUCUAGCUGAUGGUUAGUAAUUAUAAUAGAGGAAUUAAGAUCCCCUUGAGGAGCUCAUUGAUUAGUGUUUGGAAUCAUUUGUGAGGUUUCAAUCUCAGAUGUAGUUUCGAUAGUGUCACUCAUGGAAAGGAAUAAAACAAGAGACAAGAGAGAUUAGAGAAGUUGGAAUCAAAAAAAAUUCCAAAGGCUCCGAUACCAUGAACAAACUUUAGAGAGAAGAUUGUUCUUUUAUUUUAAUUAGGUUACAGAUUUUUAUAAGUAGAACUAAGUACAAAUAAGGAAUCAAUCCCUAGAAAUUAGUAAUUUCCUAAGAAUUAGAAAUUAAUAUUAAAUUCUACUAUACAAGGUAAUUCCUAGGACUAAGGCAAGUAUUCUGUCCUUAAUCUUAGGGAUUCUAACAACUUACAUAGCUCGAACUGCUAUAGUCCGCAUGAAAGCCAUCUUUUAACAAUUUUGCAUAUUGUGUUUCGGUUGGGAGUUCGAGGGUGUAUUAUGAGUUGGGAUUAAACAUGUUUUAAGCUGAAAAUCAUGGUCAAGAAAGCAUUUGUUAAAGGUACGUGGGUGUUUUCAAAAAAAAAAGGUGCGUCAGUGAAGAUUAAAUUCUAAUAGGACAUUGAUUCAUUGAUGUCAUGGUGGAUCCCGCCCUUGACCAUAAUUGUUAGGAUAAUUUCUUUUCUAAGAAACUACUUCAGAAGUUAACUAUUGAAAGAGUUGAAGAUUUUGGUCUUUUAGAUUAUGGUUGUGAAUUCAAAAUUGGAUGUUCUUUUUCGUAGCAUGAUUAAUCCAAUCUUUUUCGGUCCAAAAACUUAUCUCAGCUAUCGUCAAAUAUUACUGCAAUGAAGGAAUAAAACUAACUGAAAUCCAUUUAGAAGCUAAAAAUCCUUCCUAACCUGUUCAAUCAGAUUUCAAUGACAAUAGAGGGAAUUAUGUCUCAAGAAUCCACCAAAAACUCAUCUAAACCUUGUUUUCAACGAUAAAAUUCAAAAUCCAAUGUGUUUUUUUUUCUUUUUCUUUUUAAAUCCAACUUCGAUUCCUUUUUUAUUCCAUUCAAAAUUUAUGUAUUAUUUUUCUUAAAAUAACAUAUAUUUUGCAUAAAAUAAUUAAUGUUAGAUCAACUUUUACGAUAAAUAAAAAAAACAAAUAAAGCAUGAAAUUCAAAAACUAAAAGAAUUUGAAUGGAUUAUGUUGUACUUUUGUCUUUUUUAUUUUAAAUAUGUUAUAUUAUUAUUAUGGUUGUUUGUCUUCUUUUUUUUAAUUAAAAAAACAAUAAAUAAGUUGCAAAGGUUAAGAUUUGAACCAAUAACAUUUGCAUCUAUAAAAUAUUUUUAUAUAUUUCAAUAUCAUUACACUAAAAUAAACUUACAUAUUUUAAAUAAGAUAUAUAACUACAAAUAAUGUUGAGAUUUGAACCCAUGCUCUCAGUAUUUAUAAAAUCUUUUCUUUAUCACUUUAACCCAAACUUUAUUUUGACUUUUUUUUAUACAUUUCAAUGUUAUUAUACAAAUUGUUUCACCCAAAUUGUUUGUAUAUUUAUAUUAUCAUUUAAGUAUGUAAUUGAGUUGGUGAAAAUUACUAAAAUAACCUUACAUGUUUUAAAUAGAUUAUAUUAUUACGAGGAUACUUUUCUCUUAGAUAUUGAGUUCUAAAUACAUAAUAUCUACACUCCUGCUCCACUUGAUUUCAGUGCGGUGGAGCACAAUAUUCAAUUCAGAAUUUUCAAACAGCAAGUCAUUUGCUCCACCACAAUUUUGCAUCUGAUGGAUACGAUGGAAUGGAACGAUUAAAACUCUAAAAAUAAGAGGUGACGUGAUUUAAGAGGAAAGAAGGGGAGAAGAGUAAAAAAACCAACUUAGAAGAUAAUGAACAAUUCUUUAACACCAAGGGAAAGUUUGAAGCUUGCAAAAAAAUAAAAAAUAAAAAAAAGAGAUAUGGAGUGCUCGAUAUUAGUUUGAUAAUUAUUUUUCUCUAGAUUAUUUCUUUUUACUUUCUCUCAAUUUAAGUUUGUUUUGAAUUUCUUCUUGUGAUGUUUUCUCAAAUCAACAUGAACUCUAUUUUCUUGGAACGAUGAUGGAUCAUAUUUCUUAAUUAAUUAAUUAUUUUCUCUUCAAUUGUUUCGAUCAAUGUUAAUUAUUUAUUCAGUCCUAUGCGUAUUUAAUAUGCUUACUUGGCCACUAAGUUGUAUUAAUUUGAUCAUAUUGAUUUGUCUUGGAAGAGAAAUUUAAAGUUUAGAUCUAGACUAAAUAGAAUAGAAUUAAUUUUAGUUGCACUGGCAAGCGAGUUAAUUUGUGACUAAGAUAGCAAUAUACCUAAUGCCCUAAUCAACCAUAAAGGUUUGGUCGUAAUGACUUCGCCCAACUUACCUAGCAUGGGAAUAUAGCUAAUGGGAAAGGAGGAUUAACUUAGUUAGAUACCGGAAUAGUCUAAUUAAUGUCAUUAAAUCUUAAGUUAAUAAUUACAUAGAUUGAACACUUGGAUAAGAGAUAAUUGAUUAACUAGAUUAUGUGAAGUUAGAGUUCCAAUAUCUUUAAAAUUGAUUGAGAAACUUAGUAAUUUUCAUUUUUUUAGUUUAACUGAAUUUUCGUAAUUAGCUUAGUUUAAUUUUAAUAGUAAUUAGAAUUUACUUUAUUGUUUCAGAUUAGAUAAAAAGUGAAUAGUUGACACUUAACUUAGAUUUUGGUUCUCGUGAGAACAAUAUAUUUCUUAUCACUUUAUUAUUGGAUUCAACAGGUGUACUUAUGUAAUGAAUAUUUACACAUCAUAUAUUAACAUGUCAAUGACAAAAUAGUUUUAUUUCUUUUUUGUGUUAUAAAGGUGUUUUUAAGAAAAUUUUGUAUUAUCAUUGUAACAAAAAUAAAUAAUGAUGUUAACUGUUUAGACCAACUAAUGUCAUUGUAAAAGGAUCACAACUACAAUUUAACCAUUAUCUUAUAACGGCGUGUCAAUUGUAGGAAUGUAGGUGUUCAUUUAAAUAUAGGUAAUAGUUUAUAGGUUACGUUCUCUUCAUUAUUUUGAGAUAAAACUUAAAAUUAUAUAUGAAUUAUAGUUUAAUAUGUAAUUUUAUAAAUGAACUUCGAUCUUGUGGCUUGGAUUCGAGUCCCACCAUCUACAAUUGUAAUAAAUGGGUUUCCCUCCCAUCCUAUUCAGAUUUAGUUUGACUUUUAUCGAGUUCUCAGUGUUAUGCAUUGGAAGACAUGAUAAAUUAAAGAAAUUAAGAUAAUUAAAUUAUCUAGAUAAUAAUAUUAUUAAAUUAUUUCAAAUUAAAAUGUUUUUUAAAUAAUUUUAAUAUUAAGGGAGAGGAAGGAGAUGAUAUUAUUAUUAAAUUACUUGAAGUUAAAAUAUUUUGAUAUUCAAAGACACUUAUUUAAAAUAUUGAAUAGAAUAAAAAUUGUUUUAAGAAUUUAGCAUUAAUUAGUGUUCUUGUAUGGAUCUUAAAUAUUAUUGAAAUUAUAUUAAAAAUUAAUUGACAAAAGAAUAAGGUUACAGCAACCCCAAAUCAUCACUUUUCGGAAGUCAGUAUUUUAUAUUUUUGUUACACUCAAAAUAAUCUACAAAUUCAAAGCCGAACGUACAAAUUAAAAAGAAAUACUUUAUUUAUCAUAAGUAGAAGAAUUGUUUAAAUAUGAUUCGGUAAAUUUUCAAUCUUUCUUCUUUUUACCAUACAUGGCAGUUAAUGUACAAAGUACACGGCAGUUACGCUUGCCUGGUUUCCGAUAAAUCGGAUGAAAUUAUUGGGCAAGUUUUCUAUCUUUCUUCUUUACCAUUCAUGGUUCCCAUUCGAUCAGGUAAACUACCCACCUUAUUUGCCCACCGGAGCACUUCCCAUAUAUAGCAACAAGGAACACUUUUAACAUACCACUGACUCCCUUCCCUUCCGUUUUCUUUAUCCAAAAUUUACCAACAAUGGUGGAUACUAAACCGUUGCUUCCAGCAUCCAACUCCGAUGGGUCUUAUCUAACAGGCUCUCGUGUAAAUAGCCUGAAACCCAUCAAAGUUUAUCUUACAAUCUUUUGUGGGUUGUUGGCGGUCGGCUUGUUCGCGGCAUUGUUGAUAGGAAACUAUUGGUCUGAUAAUGCUCGUAUACAUGGCUCAUUGGCUUCGUCAACCUCUAAGAGAACUUAUCCUUUACGUCCUGUAUCACGUGGCCCGGCUCAAGGAGUUUCGGAGAAAACGAGCGGGAUUUGGGCCGGCGUAUCAUGUGGCCCGGCUCAAGGAGUAUCAGAGAAAACGAGCAGGGUUAGGGCCGGUGUCCCCAGGAAUAUCUUACCGGAACCUUUGAACAGUACCAUGUUGGAAUGGCAAAGAACCGCUUUUCAUUUUCAACCUGAAAAGAAUUGGAUGAAUGGUAUUAUUUGAUUCACUGUUCUGAAAAAUACUAUAUUGCACUUAAUCUUUCAUUUGCAAUGAUUAAAGCUGGGUUAUUAGUUUAUUUUUAAGUUUUCUACCUGUGAUGGUAUAUAAUAUCUUGAAUUUUUUGUAUGGAUUGUGCUUUUUACAUGUUUUGCUCGGACAUCGGAAUCUGGUUUUCAGAUCCAAACGGUAAGGCCUCAUUUUCUUAAUUUAAUAUGAUUUUGUUGUAUUAAAACAAAACCAUCAUAAUUCAGGUUUUAGGUUUAACUUAGUUCAGUUUAUAAAUCAAACAUUUCUUUGUUCAAAUAGAUUGUGUUAUUUGAGGUUAGAAGGAAUGGCUCUUUUUUAUCUGAUUAGUCAAAAUCAGAUUUAAAAAUAUUCUCAAAAAAAAUGAAUCCCACUUUUUCUAUUAAAAUAUCUAAUAUUCUCAUAUGCUGCAUUUUUAUAACCUAAUGUGUGAUUUAAUGUAAUAUAUAUCGAGGCAAUCAGUUCCAUUUCCAUAUAAAAAGUCAGAACAAUUGUAAAAUGAGGGGACCAAAAUUUUAAUUUUGCUAAGUGUUGGUGCAAGAGGCAGCAGCAAGCUGAUUUCAGCUUUGCUUAAACAGCAAGUCUCGAGGCUUGCAGCAGAAACAAUCAAGGAAGAAAAAACUUACAAUGGAAAACAGAAAAGAAAGAGAGAGAUUUGAAUGAAAAUGAGCUGAAUUUUCAUUAACCUUUUAAGAAGGCAUGAUGCCAAUACAUAUAAGGGAUUACAAUAGCAAAACAAACAAGUUACCACCUAAUAACUUACCUAACACCACUAAUUUGCCUAGUAACUUGGUAAACUUGUUUGAAUACAUAAACAGCUACCUAAACUUGUCAUUCAUCACUUAGUUACAUCAAAAUGCAGCUACCAACUAAGUUUGAUCCUAACUAAAUACAAAACAUUCAUUUAAAGAAACUAAAUGAAUAGCUUCAGCUUGCUGCACCAAUUUGCUAUUGAAGCACGUUCCCUGCAUAGCCACCUUUGCUGCUACAUGGGAGCUGACUUCAACACUCCUCCUCAGCUUCUAUGCAGCAGACUCCUAGUUCCCUCUUUAGGCUUAGAAAUCUUGAUACACCAAGAGACUUUGUGAAGAUAUCAGCAAUCUGAUUUUCAGAGCUGCAAUGAAUCAGCUCAAUUUCUCGAGCUUGUUCCAUCUCCCUUAUCACAUGCAGUUUAAUAUCGAAGUGUUUUGUCCUACCAUGGAAGACAGGAUUUUUGGCAAUAGCAACUGCUGACUUGUUGUCACAAUGUAUCACAGUUGCUUCAUUCUGGUGUAGGUUUAAAUCACUCAAAAUUUUUCUCAGCCAUACAGCUUGAUUAACAGCAUUAGCAGCUGCUACAUACUCAGCUUCAGCUGUUGACUGAGCCACCAUUGUUUGUUUUCUUGAGCUCCAACAAAUCAUUGCAGAGCCAAGUGUAAAAGCAUAACCAGAGGUGCUCUUCAUGUCAUCUUUUGAACCAGCCCAAUCGCUGUCUGUAUAGCCAAUCAAUUUCAACUCCUUGACCCUUUUGAAACAUAUACCAUGGUUCAAGGUACCUUUGAUAUACCUCAGAACCCUUUUUCCUGCUUUGUAAUGCUGCUGAUUACAGCAAUGCAUGAAUCGUGACAGCAUGCUCACAGCAAAUAGAAUAUCAGGUCUUGUUGCUGUCAAAUACAACAAACAGCCAAUAAGGCUUCUAUAAUCUGUUUCACAGACAGAUUCAUGUUCCUCUUGGCUCGAUAACUUCAUGCCAAUAGCCAUUGGUGUGCUCAUUGGUUUACAAUUCUCCAUUGAGAAUUUCGCCAGCACUUUCAAGGCAAAUGUCUUUUGUUUCAAGAGGAUUCCUCCUUCUACUUGAUUGACUUCCAUUCCUAGGAAAUAUGUCAUCAAUCCCAAGUCUGACAUCUCAAACAUUUCCUUCAUUUUUGUUUUGAAAUCAGCCAACAUAAACUUGUCUCCUCCAGUCACUAGAAGAUCAUCAACAUACAGUGACACAAUAAGCUGUGUUUCAGCUCCAUUCCUCUUAACAUAGAGUGUUGGCUCACUAGCACUCCUUUCAAAUCCCAAACUGACCAGGUAUGAGUCAAUUCGAGCAUACCAGGCUCGAGGGGCCUGUUUUAGGCCAUACAAGGCCUUUCUUAGCCUAUACACCAAAUGUUCCUUACCAGGCAUUAUAAAACUUGGGGGUUGCUUGAUAUAUAUCUCCUCUUCUAAGAAUCCAUUGAGGAAUGCAGACUUGACAUCCAUUUGGUGGAUUGUCCACUGGUUCUGAGCAGCAACUGCAAUCAGUAAUCUGAUUGUAUCGAGUCUGGCUACUGGAGCAAAUGUUUCCAAGUAGUCCAGACCAUACCUUUGACUGAAGCCCUUCACAACUAGCCUGGCCUUUAGCUUGUUUAAACUUCCAUCUGCAUUGUGCUUCACUCGAUAGACCCAUUUUACACCAAUGGUCUUUCUGUUGGCAGGCUUUUUAACCAACUCCCAUGUCUGGUUCUUCACAAUCAUGUUGAUUUCAUCAACCAUAGCCUGUUUCCAACCUUCAUCUGCUUUAGCUUCUUCAAAACUACUAGGUUCUACUAUAGCAGCUUGUGCUCUUUCAUAAAUCUCAUCUAGGGGUCUUGUGCCUCUCACAGGCGCAUCAUCAACAUCCAUUUCAGGACCAAGGUGCUCGAGUUCAGCUUGAUUAGACACCAGGUCUUCUGAAGUAGCUUUUGGUUUACUCUUUUCCCAAUUCCAGCAAGCCUUCUCAUCGAAGAUGACAUCUCUGCUCACUUGGACUUUGUUUGUCAAAGGAUCCAGAACCCUGUAGCCCUUCUUAACUGAGCUAUAGCCUAUAAGAACACCUGGUUGAGCCCUUUUAGAGAGCUUGUCUCUGUUUGCUGCUGGUAUUUGUGCAUAACACAGGCAACCAAACACUUUUAGAUGUGCCAAUGAAGGCUUGAAACCGAACCAAGCCUCGAAAGGUGUCUUGGAUGCAAGAGCUUUAGUAGGAAGCCUAUUUUGAAGGUAGACAGCAGUGUUUACUGCCUCAGCCCACAUGGUCUUGGGCAGUUUCUUCUCAAACAGCAGGCACCUGGCCAUAUCCAUCAAGCUUCUGUUCUUUCUUUCUGAUACCCCAUUCUGCUGAGGUGUGUAGACAUUUGUAAGCUGGUGUUUGAUACCAGCAUCAUUGCAAAUGGCUUGAAAUUGAGCUGAAGUGUACUCAGUGCCAUUGUCUGACCUUAUCGAUUUCAGCUUGCAACCUGUUUCUGUCUCUACUGCAGUUUUAAACUUCACAAACACUUGAGCUACCUCAGACUUGUGUUUUAAGAAGAAAAUCCAGCAAAACCUUGUAAAAUCAUCAAUGAAGAGGAUGAAAUACCUGUUUUUGCUGAGUGAUUCAGUCCUCAUUGGGCCACAUACAUCAGAGUGCACCAGCUGCAGUCUUUCAAAAGCUCUCCAAGCUGAAUUUGUAGGAAAUGGCAGUCUUGCCUGUUUCCCCAUUUGGCAAACUUCACACACAUCAUCAUGCUUUACUGAGCUGGUAAAGUUUUCUGCCAAGCCCUCUUUGGCCAUUCAAGCCAGUGAUCUGAAGUUGGCAUGUCCGAGCCUUUGAUGCCAAAGCUUGGAAUCAUCAACAGAAGCUGUGUAUGCUGACUUUGAGUCAUUUGGCCAGUGCACCUCAAAGCAUUUGUCAGUCAUUGUGAUUUUCAUAAGGCUUGAUCCACUUGGAUCAGCAAUCUGGCACUGUUUGUCCUUGAACACAACAGAAUAGCCUUUCUCGAGCAAUUGAGCUAUACUGAGAAGGUUUCUGUCAAUCUCAGGCACCAAAAGCACAUUCGGAAUAAUCUUGUUGCCUGUAGGAGUACUUAUCAGCACCUCUCCUCUUCCUUCAGCCCUUAUGAACUGACCAUUUCCAACCUUGACCUUGGUUUUGCAACUUCUAUCCAAGGUUUUAAACAAGGAGGCAUCUGGUGACAUGUGGUUAGUGCAACCACUGUCCAAUAACCAGCCUUUUGAGCAUUUCUUCUCAGCAGCUAAGCAAGACACAGCAAAGACCUGCUCUUCUUGGUCACUACUGUCCUCAGCUACUCGAGCUUCAACCUUUGGUUGUUGAAAUUGGCUCUGCCUUGGCUUGGUUCUAUUUUUGCAAACCCUUUCAACAUGGCCUUUCUUCUUGCAGUAUUGGCAUACUGCAUCUGGCCUGAACCAGCAUCUGUCUUUUGGAUGACCUGGCCUUUUGCAAUGUCUGUAGGGCUGGUCAUUGCUCCUUGCAGCAUCAGGCUUAGGUCUGCUUUUCCAAGGCUUUUUUUCUCUUGGAGCAUUGAUGCUCGAGGCUUCUCUGGCCUUGGCAUUGAAUGCACCUUCCUGGUUGUCUUCAGUUCUGCUAGCUCUCCUUUGUUCCUGAGCAUAGAAGGUGUUGAUUAGCUCAGUCAAAGAGAUGGUAGCAAGGUCUCUUGAGUCCUCUAGAGAGGAUAUCUUGGCCUCAUAUCUCUCAGGCAAAGUGGAGAGGACUUUCUCCACUAUCCUUGCCUCAUCAAAGUGCUCACCAAGGAGCCUUAUACUGUUAACCACUGCCAUGAUUCUGUCUACAUACUGCUUCACUGUUUCUGCUUUUUUCAUCUUCAGGUUCUCGAAAUCCCUUCUGAAAUUCAACAGCUGCUGUUGCCUUGUUCUCUCAGUGCCUUGAAACACCUCUUUAAGCUUAUCCCAGGCCUGUUUUGGAGUCUCACCGGCCAUGAUUCUGGUGAAGAUGAUUUCUGACACACAGUUCUGGAUUCAGGACAUGGCUUUGUGCCUUUUGGUCCUCUCAUCAGCAUGUUGCCUGAUCUGAGCUACUGUGGGAUUAGCCCUCAGUGGUGCUGGCUUAGCAUCUGUGUUGACAACUUCCCACAGAUCGAAGGCCUGUAGGUAAGUCUUCAUCUUGACCAGCCAUAUGUGAAAGCCUUCUCCAUUGAAGACUGGUGGGGCUGCUGGUGAAAAUCCUGAAGAAGCCAUCAGGUUCCUUGGUUUGAAGCAACAGGUCCACUAAGACAAGGGCUCUAGAUACCAAUUGUUGGUGCAAGAGGCAGCAGCAAGCUGAUUUCAGCUUUGCUUAAACAGCAAGUCUCGAGGCUUGCAGCAGAAACAAUCAAGGAAGAAAAAACUUACAAUGGAAAACAGAAAAGAAAGAGAGAGAUUUGAAUGAAAAUGAGCUGAAUUUUCAUUAACCUUUUAAGAAGGCAUGAUGCCAAUACAUAUAAGGGAUUACAAUAGCAAAACAAACAAGUUACCACCUAAUAACUUACCUAACACCACUAAUUUGCCUAGUAACUUGGUAAACUUGUUUGAAUACAUAAAUAGCUACCUAAACUUGUCAUUCAUCACUUAGUUACAUCAAAAUGCAGCUACCAACUAAGUUUGAUCCUAACUAAAUACAAAACAUUCAUUUAAAGAAACUAAAUGAAUAGCUUCAGCUUGCUGCACCAAUUUGCUAUUGAAGCACGUUCCCUGCAUGGCCACCUUUGCUGCUACAUGGGAGCUGACUUCAACACUAAGAUUUCAAUACUGGCAAAACAUAUGUAACAGGUCCAUUGUUCUAUAAUGGUUGGUAUCAUUUCUUCUACCAGUACAAUCCCAAUGGUGCUGUUUGGGGUGACAUUGUUUGGGGCCAUGCGGUGUCGAAAGAUUUAAUUAAUUGGUUCCACCUCCCAUUGGCAAUGGUUGCUGACCAAUGGUACGACAAAAAUGGCGUCUGGACCGGUUCUGCCACCAUCCUUCCUGAUGGAAAAAUUGUGAUGCUAUACACAAGAUCCACCACGGAGGCUGUUCAGGUUCAAAACCUUGCUUUUUCUGCUAAUUACUCUGACCCUUUUCUCAUCGAUUGGGUCAAGUACCAUGGGAACCCGGUUCUAGUUCCACCCCCAAGCAUCUAUAAAAAGGAUUUCCGUGAUCCAACCACUGCCUGGUUGACCUCUGAAGGGAAAUGGCGCAUUACCAUAGGGUCCAAGAGAGAUAAAACCGGCAUAUCUUUGGUAUAUGAUACCAAGGACUUCAUAAACUAUGAGAUGUUAGAGGGGGAACUUCAUGCAGUGUCCGGCACUGGCAUGUGGGAGUGUGUGGACUUCUUCCCUGUUUCUAAAACAGAAGGGAAGGGCUUGGACACAUCCAUCAAUGGACCUGAAGUUAAGCAUGUGGUGAAGGUAAGCCUGGAUGAUGACAGGCAUGAUUACUAUGCUCUUGGGACGUAUUAUGAGAAGAAUGGUUCAUGGAUUCCUGAUCUACCUGAAAUCGAUGUAGGCAUCGGAAUAAGGUAUGAUUAUGGAAUAUUUUAUGCUUCCAAGACUUUCUAUGAUCAGAACAAAAACAGAAGAGUUUUGUGGGGCUGGAUUGGGGAAGGUGAUAGUGAAGCCGCGGAUAUGGAGAAAGGAUGGGCAUCGCUUCAGGUAACUCUUUUCUGUUUCAAAAUGGGUAGUCAUAAAAACGUUUAUUAAAAUCCAGGUUUUUUCAGGUUUGUAAUGUGCUACUUUCACUUACAGAGCAUACCAAGGACAAUAUUGUUUGACAAUAAGACUGGUACGAAUUUGCUUCAAUGGCCAGUGGAAGAAAUAGAGAGUUUAAGGUUGAACGACACCGAAUUUGAAAAGGUUGCAGUCAAGGCAGGAUCAGUUGUUCCUCUUGAUGUUGGUCCAGGCUCACAGGUUUGUCAUAUUCCUUCAUUAACAAUGAUUGAUUUGUAUUCCAAGUUCUUGUUAGUUGACAAGGAGAUCCCAUUCCUUGGUAAUGUAACAGUUGGAUAUCAUAGCCGAGUUUGAGAUAGAUAAAGAAGCUUUGAAGAAAGCAACCGGGUCCAAUAUAACAUUUAGCUGCCAAACCGGCGGUGGAGCUGCCAAAAGUGGAGCACUGGGACCAUUUGGUAUUUUGGUGCUUGCAGAUGAGAGCCUCAGUGAGCAAACUCCGUUGUACUUCUACAUUGCCAAAGAUUCAGAUGGCGAUCUCAAGACCUUCUUCUGCACCGAUCUGUCUCGGUACGUGUAAAGCUCAGCUGCUCUUUCUCAUCGGAUAAAUAAGCUGCCACUCACCAUAUUUUAUUGUUUCAGAUCAUCUAAAGCACCCGAUGUUGAUAAACAAAUUUUUGGGAGCUACGUUCCAGUACUCAAAGAGGAAAAUUUAUCCCUCAGAGUAUUGGUAAAGUUUUAACUUCAUGUCUUUUAACAUAAGAAUCAAUAAACAUGAAAAUGUAUUAAUAUUUUCUUUUCUCAGGUGGAUCAUUCGAUUGUGGAAAGCUUUGCACAAGGUGGAAGAUCAGUGAUCACAUCUCGGAUUUAUCCAACAGAAGCAAUUAAUGGAGCAAGUAAAGUGUUUUUAUUCAACAAUGCUACUGAGACCUGUGUUACUGCUUCAGUUAAGAUCUGGCAAAUGGACUCUGCUUUCAUUCGGCCUUAUUCAGAUGAUGAUGAUGAUAAAGAUGAUGACGACCGGAAAUCCUCUGCGCCCUGUUUCCUUUUGUGCCCUAUCAAUUAUAUGUGUCAUGUGUCACUUGUCUUUACUUCAUAUAUCACGUUUCAAAAUUUAUUUGGUGGGAGUCAGGGAUAGAUUUUCAUAGAUAUGGAUUCCUAGAUGAUAACAAGUUCUAAAGGAUCAAAAAAGGAAAUGCCUUGAUCCGUACCCAAAUUAAUUACAUUUUUUGCACUUCUUCUACCAAAUAAUAUCAUCCUAUCACCUUAAUGCAUUAGAUGUAGUUAGGGAAGAAUUUAAAUCAAAGGAAUGUGCAGACAUUCAUGGGGAAGAUCAUCUGCGUCUGCAGGUGCACCUUGGUUAGAUUGUGAAUAAAUUUAUUCGAUUUUCAAUAAAUAAUAAACAAAUAAAAUAAUUUUAAGAAGCUCUUUUUCCCCUUAAACAUUAAUACUGUUUCUUUUCAAAACUAGGAAAAACCUAAAUAUGAAAGAUAAUUGGUUUUUUUUUUGGCAAUCCGAUAAACCAUCUUAAUUUCCGAUUUAUUUCUUAAUAAAUUAUUUAUUUAAUCUUUUAUUAAUUUUAUAACUUUAAACCAUACUUUAUUAAAUGUUAUCACAAAAAUCAAUAUAAAAAUUUAGAAUUUAUUAAAUUAUUUGUUUUAUUUUUAACAUACUUAUAUACAGAAGAUUUAUCAAUUUGAAAUAAUUAAAAUUUCAUAUUUUUUCUUUAAAAAAAUUUGAAGUAGUUCUAUUUUUAAAUAUUAAUUAAUGUUUAAAUAAAUAAUAAAAUUAUAGCAUAACUUUGUUAAAUUUAAAAUUUUAAAGGGUAUUUAUGUCGUUCCCUUUUAAUGGUUAAUUUGAAAUUUACACUUAUAGAUAGAUAGAUAUAAUUUUUUACUUUCAUUUUCAUUUUUUUAAGUUUUAAUUUUUUAAAUGAAAAUAUUAUCAUUAAUAUGAACUGUGAACAAUAAAAAUACAAAAACAUGUUCGGGUUAGCCUUUUACAAGGCCCAUCUGACAAGCCCUAAAGAUCAUAAAAAUUAAAGCCCAACCUUAAAUGUGAUAAAUAUGUGGAUGGAGUAAAUUUUAUUAACUUAAAUUCAUUAAAGUUAUUAUUUUUUUAAGCUCAAAAGACCAAUCGAUUUGCAACAAGUAUUAGGUUAGAAUCUAGGUAUUUUUAGGUUGAGAUGUUUGCAUAUCGAUCAAAGAGCUACCUCUUAGUUUCGAAAUGAACUUUGAAUCACCCAAUUUCAAGUCCGAGAGCUCAAGUUAAGAUCAUUUUAGUAAAGAUUGCUCGAGUAGAAUUUCUGGAUGAGAUUAUUACGGGAAAUUACGAAUUUCGGGCUUUAAUUUGAGUUUAAAUCAUAUUGAGAUCGAUUUUAAGGCUUAAUUUUGAUUAUAUAUGAGCCUAGUAUUAUAUUUAUUAGGUUUUAUAUUUUAUUUAUUUAUUUAUUUCGAAUUUUAGGAUAUUUCAAAAUAUUUAAGUUGUUUAAAAGUUUUAUAUUUCUUAGUCAAGAAGAAAAUUUAGUUCAAUCAGAACUAUUUCUUGUUUAGAUUAAUUAGAGUUUUAUUAUAUUUGAAGUUUUAUUUGAUUUAAUUAGUUAACUUAUAUAAAGACAUGUUCAUUAUUCAUUAGGUACAACCUUCAUUAUUUGAUUCAAUACAACUCUUUUGAGUUUUUUUUUUCAAGCUUGUUUAUUUUAGAAUUUGUUUUCUUCUUGGUUUUUUACUCCACCCUCUAAUUUACUAGGAGUUGGUUAGAACCAUUUGUGAAGCUUAUUGAUAGAUUAGAACCAUUUGAAAAGGUUGUUGGAGAUUUUCUUCAAUGGGUUUUAUAGUAUAUUGCCUUUCCAUCAACUUCCAUCCAAUCUUUUUCUAUUUUCUCUAUAUCUUUAUUAAUCUUGAUUAUGUUUAUUAGAAUUUCUUUUUUUUCUAAUGCUUUAUCUUCUCACUUGAUUUUAGGUCUCUAGAUUAGACCUGCUCAUGGGUCGGGCUACCCAGCCCGGCCUGAAGGCCUGCCCAAAAUGUGGGAGGGUUUGAGCAAAAAUAUAGGCCCGAAAAAUGGGUUUGGACAAAAAAAUAAGGCUCGUUUAAAAAAUAGGUCGGGCCUCGAGUAAGGUAUUUUUCGCCUGGGCCCAGCCCAACCCAGCCCGAAUUCACUAAAUGACAAAAAAAUCUUUUUUUUUGUUUUUGAAUGUUAUUUUCUUGUUGUUUUCUCCCUAUUUUGCUACCAUAUUACUAUUAUGUUACUACUAUUUUGUUGUUAUUGUUUGGAUAUUGUAUAAAACAUAUUUUAUUAUUAAUUUUGUUAUUAUUUUAAAGACAUUUGUUAAUUUUGUUAUUAUUUUAGAGGUAUUUGCUUGUUAAGUUGCAUCUAUCUUAGUGCUAUUUAAGUCUACAUAUUUUCUAAAAUUUAUUUUCAAUUUGUCAGAAAAUAUUUAUUUUGAUUUUUUAGUAUUUUUUAGUAUUAUAUAUAUUUAAAAAUUAUAUAAAAUAAUAUAAAAAAUUAAUACGGGUCGGGCCAGAGUUUUAGUAUUUUUAUUUGGGUCGGGCUUUGGGAAAAUUUCAAGCCCUUUUUUGGCCCGGCCCGACUCGAGCCCAAUGAAUGAGCCUAUAUUUUUAGUUGAGCCCGGCCCGGCCCAUGAGCACCUCUACUCAAGAUCCUAAGUUAUUCUUUUAAGAUUGUGUCUCACACUCAAGACAAGACCCUCUUCCACUUCAAAUCGCUUGAAUCUUUCUUUAUUGUUCUUGGAUUCUUUUUUCUUUCUUUAGUUUUUGCUUGCCAUCAAAUUACCCUAUUUCUCACUAGGUUUGUACUUAUGUUUCAAGUUGCUUAUUCUCAAAAUAGGGUUUUCUCUAUUCAAUUUGAUUUCCCCUUCCCUCAAACAACUUGAAUUCGAUCUUAUUCGUUGCCUCUGUCAUACGGAAUCAACCAUGAUAGUGUGGAUUGAAAUAAGAACCACUAUAAUUUUCAAAGAAAACUGAGUUAACUGUAAUUAAAAACGAAAGGAAAAUCAAAGAAUAUCGUUGAAGAGGCCAUUACCAGAAACUAGCAUGAAGGUUAGCCUUGCUGUUGACAAGGCUAAAAUCUGGUUUUAGAGGGUUCAACUACUAAGGUUCUUUUCCUUUAACCUAAACAUUUCAAUUAAUUUUAAAUUUUUUUAAGUUGCAACUAAUUUUCAAUAAUAAUUAUUUAUUAUGAAAAGUAAAUUAAAUAACUAACACAAAUUAAUUAAUUAGAAUAAAUAUGGAGAAGAUGCCACAAAUAAAUAAUACACUAAAUUCAGUGAUGUCCAUUAAACUAACUAAUAAAUCGACUAAGUUAAGUGUACCUAUUAAUUAAUAUUAUAGCUAUGGUGAGCACAAAUAUUGUUCCCUUAAGGACUACAAUUACUAGUAAUUAUCAUUUUUCUAUUAUUUAACUUAAUAAUUUAAAGGAUUGAUUAAAACUAAAAUUAACUAACCAAUGCGUCAAAGAAAUAAAACACAAAAAACAAUCAAAUAUCAACCAAGUGACAAAACAAUACCUAGGUAAGAAUCUGCCUAAACUUCAUCUAUAAUUCUCAAUCUAAUUUAUGCAAAUUUUUUCUUAGUUUCUUUGAUCCAUAGAAAUCUCUAAUUUAUAGUAAUAUCUUUUUUGAGUAUAAGAGCAACUAACUCUAAGUUGAUUAAUUGAAAUUUCUUUCUACUUAAAACCCCUAUUAACACUUUAAUUCGCUCUAUAGGCCCCCUAUUAGAUUUGAUUCUAAUCUGAUAGAUUUAUAUCAUCCUAUUUUUAGGAUUGCACACAACUCCAUUCAAUUAUUCAAUAUCUAAUCACAAGAAGGGUUUAUUAAACCCCAAACUUAUGCACAUCAAAACAUGGAUUAAUACUCUAGAAUUAUCAACCCAUGAACAAUUAAGCAUUCAUAAUUGAAGACUAAGGUUUUAUUGCAUAAAACUAGAAAUCAAACAACAGACUCCUCCUAAGGUUCGUCUAUUCUUGGUAUUUAGAAAAUUAGUUCAUACUUGUAAGAAGGAACACAAAAAAUACAAUAUAACAACUAAAAUAAAAGAAAGCCAUGAUAACUCCCUUGGAAAUCAACUUGGACUCUUGAAUCUUGAUGGAGUAUUGCUUGGAAAUUGACUUCAAUGGUGUUAUUCGAGUAAUUUUCGUGCUAAAAUAAGACGAUUGUUGUCUCCCUAUUGCAUUUCCUUAUUUAUACAUUUUUAAAGUGCUAAAAAAACCUAAAAAUCGUAAUUGUCAACUGUUAGUGCACAUGGUUCUCGAAAUCCAUACGCCCAUGUCAGAGCACACAUGGUUCCCGAAAUUCACAUGUCCGUGUGGCUUACAUGGCCCUGUAACACCCCUAACCCACAUUCAUAGCCAGAAUAGGGUUUUGGAGCAUUAGCGAUCAAACAGACAUAAUUUCAAUGCAUUUCAUAUCAUAUAAUAUUCAAGUCAAAUCCAAUCAAACUCAUACAUAUUGUCCCUUAUUCGAGCCCUCGAGGCCCAAAUUACGUGUUAGAAACAAGUCAAUACUAAUUUGGAAACUCAGAGAAUUUUUCGAAAAAUAAUAAAAAUUUUCAAAGCUACAAGGUUCACACGCCCGUGUGUCUAGCCGUGUAGACUCAAAAUGAACCUUAAACAACAACUUUGCCAUUCCCUACAAUCUUGGACACCAAGCAACUCAAAAACCAUUCAUUCAACUAAUUCGAAACACAAUCAAAUACCUUCAAAACAUGUCAAAAUAAUCAACCUAAAUGUCUAACCAAUGUACCCUCAUAAGUACCACAAAUUUAUUAUCAAAACAUAUUAAUUUAAACAUCAUUUAAUCCAUAUCAUAAACAUACCAAUUUCAAUCAAAUUUUUACCUAAAUCAUGAACACUUAAACAUCAAUUUAAUAUACCAUAUUAAAGCUUCAAACACAAACACAUGCUUAUAUAUAUAUCAACCAACAUUAAAAUUAUAAUCUUGUUUACAACUAAACCACAAAAUAGUUAACAUUUACACACCCUAGGUACAUGCCAACACAAAAGAAAUAUACAUCACCACGUUUGAGAUCGGGACCGUUGUUGGAUGCUGAAUUGGCGAUCAAACUUAAGUACCUAACCUAUUUACAGAAAACAAAACCAUACGCUAAGUAUAAACUCAGUGGUAUUUCUAUUAUCCGAAUAUUAAAGGCAAGAUAAUUUAAUAUUUACAUUUAAUCACACAAUAAAAUUUAAUCAUUCAAUUAAUCAAUUAAUCAAUACAUCAUUUAUAACAUAUUCAAUUCUCAUCUCUUGCUAUUUCAAAUCUCAUACUUGCUAUUCAAAUAACUUUUCACAUUCAAUGUUUUCCAAUACCAAUCAUAGUAUCAUUUCAUUUAAUCACCCCUAUUAACACGACUCGGAUUAUGACGGAUACAUGGAUCCAACCAAAACACACCAGUUUGGUAUCCAGUACCUCAUCGGAUAAUUUAAAGUAAAAAUUUGACACCCAGUGUCUCAUUGGUUAAACUGAAGUAAAUUGGCACCCAGUGUCUCAUCGAAUUAAUCUGAAGUAAUAUAUUGACACCCAGUGUCUCAUUGACUCGAAGUCAAAGAAAUCCCUAAACUCUUCCAAUCCUAUGGCAUGGCAUCCAUAUCCAACUCAGCCCGAUACAGUUAAUAGGGUUUAAUCUCACAUUUCAUAUAUAAUCAAUAUCCAAUACUGAUUUUUCAUAUAAUCACAUAAUUACAUAUAUAUUCUUUUCAAUUCAAAAAUCAAUCCAUUCAAUGUAUAUAUAUCUACCAAUUCAAUUCAUUCAAUCAAUUAUCAAAAUAUUAAUUAUUUGCCUCAACACUUACCAUAUACAUUAAAUAAAAAUUACAACAAUUAAUAACUAGCUUCGAAUUAUAGAAAUACAAACCAGAAUAUCCGAGUUAUUCCUCGUUGACUUUAUCUUUUCCCUUCUUAAUUGAGGUUUCCAUCACAACGUUAGCUACGAAAUUAAAACAAUUAAAAUUCAUUAAUACAAUACCAUUCAAUUUCAAAUUGAAUAUUUUCAAUUUUUAUUCAACAUUUUCCUAAAUUCCAAUUUAGUCCCUAAACCUAGACUAACUUUAUUUCUUUACAAUUAAUCCUAUAUUUUCAUACAAAUUCCACUUUAAACUAAAUUUAACUCUCUAAUUUCACUUAAAUCCCUAAAUUUUUAAAUUUUCACAAUUUAGUCCCUAUUACUCAAAAUUUACAAUUUAUUCUACAAUUCAAUCCUUUUUCAUUUCUAACUUAAAAAUCUAUCAGUUUAAUCCCUAAUACUCAAAUUAUUCAACAUAGUCAACAUUAAAAAACUCUAUACUUUAUAAAAUUUCAACAUAGAUUGGAUAGUAUUUAAUAUCGGGAUUCUAAAAACAUAAAAAUUACAAGAAAAUGGACUAAAUUGACUAACCAAUUGAACUUGGAACCUUAAAACUCUAGUUUCUCCUUUCUUUCUUUCUUUUCUUUCUUUCCUUUCUUUUCUUCCUGUUUUGUUUUCUACUUUGUUCUUUCUAUUCUUUUUCUUUUCUUUAUUUAUUUCAUUUACUUAUUAUUAUAAUAAUAUAAUAUAAUAUAUAUACUUAAAUAUUAAGUAAUACAUAUUUUAUUAAUAUUUAUAUUAUUUUUACACAUGUAAUUACAAUUACCAUACACUUGUUGAAAUAAUGAUUAAUUGCUUCUUUAGUCCUUUUACUUUUCUUUAAUCUAUAAUUCAACUUUCACUCUUUAUGCAAUUUAGCUCUUAUAACUAAUUACCCUUAAUUCAUACAAAUUCACCUAACCAAAACUUAAUUAAUUGCACAACUAGCUUCGUAAAUAUUUUUAAUAAAUAUUUACGAAUCUAUUUUACGAAAACAGAGACCCAAAAAUACACAUUCCAAUAUCCGUGACUAUCGGGUAGUUACAUGGCCGUGUGAAACUCUGCUUCCCAUGUGUAGCUUCCAAACUGUUCCAAUGUUUCGAUUUUCACUCGUUUUUUACCCCUAUUGCUCUGAGGUGCUCUAUUAAGCUUUAAAAUAUGAAUUUAAGGGAUUAAGAAUAUAUAAUUCAUAAUUAACAACACAUAAUCUACUAAAAAUGUAUUAAGAAUGAGGCCAAAAUAUGUUAUUUUUAAUAGUUAUCAUUCAAAUUCUGGAUACAAAAUUAUGAGCAUCUAUUUAUACACAAAAAAUUAGCUAAAUUUAGUGCUUUUGACUUAGGUGUUGUUUGAUAAACUGAAAAAUUAAGUGCUGAAAAAAUAAGUGUUGAAAAAUUAAGUAUUGAAUUUAAAUUAUAAAAUUCUUUGAUCUAUUACUUAAAAUUAAUUAUGAAAUAUAAUUAGAUAGUUUGAUAAAAAUAGAUUUUAAAUUAUAAAGAAUUAAAAUUGUGACACCCUUUACCCGUACCCGAGAUCAGGACAAAGUACAAGGUGUUACCAGACCCAUACCCAGACAUUUCAGAAAAUACGGUUAUAAAAUUUCAUUCUAAUUUAAAACCAAUCAAACAACAUUAUAGUGUCCCCAUUAUGGACCUACAAGGUCCAAAACAUACAUUAAAUCGAUUCGGGACUAAACCGAAAUCUAUAGAAAAUUUUAGUAAAGUUCCUAGGGUUAUGCCUCACAUGCCUGUGUGGAGGCAAGCACACGCCCGUGUGCUUGGGAAUAGCCCGUGUUGAAUUAUUGGAUUUAUUUUUUUUAUUUUGAACCUACAAGGGUUUUCACAUGGCCAAGCACAUGCCCGUGCCUCUAGCUCGUGUCCCUCAUACGGCCUAGACAUGCCCGUGUCAUCGCCCUUGUCCAAAAACUCGAACAUUCUAUUUAUGACAUCAUCAUUCAUUUUGAGGCACAUGGCCAAGGCACACGCCCGUGUGCUAGGCCGUGUCCUCCAUACGGUUGAGACACACAGCCAUGUCUCUGCCCGUGUGUUUACUACCAUGCAAUCUGACCUAAAAUUUUAGGUGCAGGGGUCACACGGCCAAGGAACACACCCAUGGAGGCUGACAGUGUGUCACACACGACCUAGGCACAUGCCCGUGUGUCUACCCAUGUAGACCAUUUUAGGGUUAUUUUCCAAGCCUUUAGUCACCCUCUAACAUCCAUACACAUUUAUAGACUUCAAUGGUAUAUAACAUGGCCUUAUUAUACUUUUAAACAACCUUGUCAUAACUCAUUACAUGUUAGCCUCAUCUCAUCGGCUUAGUACAUGCUAAAUUAUCCUUUUCGUAUGAGGGAUUAACAUAGCUCAUUUUACAUUUAGGCCAUAUUAUAACCAUAUACCAUUACAUGUUAUGUGUAACAGUCCGGUUUUGACCCUAGUUAGAGUAGUGGUUUCGGGACCACAUAUUCGAGUCAAAAAAAUAUUUUAAUAUUAUUUUCCGUGCCUAUAAUAAGUGAAUUGACGUGUUCAAAAAUCUCGUGUGAAAAUUUAACUGUUUGUGUGCUUAAUUUGCAAAAAGGACCUAAUCGCAUAAAAUGUAAAAGUUGUGUGCUAGAUGUUAAAGUACUUAUUUGAUUUGGAUUUGUAAAGAAAGGGUCCUUAUGUUGUUAUUUAUCCAUUGAGAAUGUUAAUGGACUAAAAUAACCAUUCAUUAAAUGGUUUUAUAAAGGUUUAAUAAAGGGCAAAAUAGGUAUUUGAUUAAUAAUUAUAUGUUUAAUAAAAUCAAAGCAUGAAAUUGGCUAUUAUUCAUGUUCAUAGCCGAAAAUAGCAAAUAAAAUAAAAGGAAAAGAACACCUAGGGUUCGGCCAUUUCAUUUCUUGAUUAAGGUAUGAGUUUUGUUCGGUUUUUGAUAAUUUUUACGUUUUUGUAAUCGUUGCUUCGAGUACUAUCUAACCCAUGCUUCAAUUUCUGAUUUUGGUGAUGAUUUUGAAAUGUGUCAUUGAUGAAACUAUGAGUUUUGUGAUGUUAAUUGAUGAAUUAUGGAAGAUUGAUGUUGGGUUUAAAUGUUUUGUCUUUGAAUUUUUGAUGAAAUUGAGUAUUAUGGCUUAAAUUGUAAAAAUGCUAUUUUGAAGGACUAAAAUGUGAAAUAAAUGAAAUGUAUGGACUUGUAUGAGAGUCAUGAAAAUUUUUCUAAGCUUGUGUACAAGGAAACUUUGUGUAUUUUGUGAUUUUGUGAAUUAAGGACUAAAGUGUCAAAAUGUGAAAAUGUGAGGGCUAUUUUGCAAAAUGCCCUAAUUGUAUGUAUAUGGAUUGUUUUGAAUGAUUUGGUGAAUAAAAAGGGUUAAUUUUGAAUACAUAUAGAUCAAGAAAAGAGGAAUUCAAAUUUAGACCGAGGGAAGUCGAAGAUUGUAGAAUAAACGUUCAAGUCGACAAUUCCGAGUACAAGGUAAGUUCGUACAUAAGGCAUGAUGUUUAAGUAUAUUUGAUAUUUUGAUUAUAUAAAGAUUGUAUAUAUUUUUGGUUAGGAUGAGUACGACAAUAAAUCAAUAGUAUUUGGCACUAAGUGUGCGAUUUAAACUAGCUUCGGCUAUAUAAGGCACUAAGUGUGCGAUACCGAUUUAGCUUCAGUUAAUUGAGAUGGCACUAUGUGUACGGAAUUGUUCUAGCUUCGACUAACCUUUAUAGCACUAAGUGUGUGGAUGUUUAAAGUACAAAUAAUUUACGGAAAGUCUUAUAAUAUUCAACGAGAGGUAAGUAUGAAAGUGAAUAAGUACGGGAAGAUUUAGGUAUGUACGAUACCUAAGUGGUAGAUAAUAUUAUGCAUGUGAAGUUCAUUGAAUUGAUAUGGUCAUAUGGAUUGAAAAUGUGUAAAUACUCAUGUGUUGUCAUUUUAUGUUUUAUAUACUGUUGAUGAUUUUAGUACGAGCUUACUAAGCUUUAGAAAGCUUACUUUGUAUGUGUUUACAUUGUUUUAUAGAUAUCGAAGCUACUGCAAGCUCAAGGAUCGUCAAUGAUCGUCACCACACUAUCGAACUUCAUUUUGGUACUUUUUAAAAUUUUAUUUUUGAAGUAUGGCAUGUAUAGGCUAGUAGUUGUAUAAGUAUGUUUUGUGUUGGAUAUGCUUAGCCAUGUAAUUUGACUAAUUUGUGAUUGAAUUCAUAGUUGUGAAUGACUUAUAGUAUAUGAUGAUAAGUUGCAAAUGUGGUAUGUUUUAGUUGGUAAGUUUAAUUGAGAUUUAAUGAGGUAUGAGAGGAAAUGUUUUGGUAUGAAUUUACCUUGUGUUUAGCAUGAAUUGGUAAGGUUUAUGAUUAGGGAAAUGGUUGAUAUUGUUAUGUUAUAAAUGAUGAAUACUAUAGCAUAAAUAUUAGCUGAAUUGGAGGUAGAAUUAUGCUUGUUUACUUUGCUUAUAGGAUGAACCCAUUUGGGGUGGCAAAUUGGCUAUUCAAAUGGUCUAUUUUUGUCCACACGGGUAGAGACACGGGCGUAUGUAUCAAUCGUGUGCGACACACGGCUAUGUUGCACAGUUGUCUGUCUCCUGGGGUACCUCACAAUUGUAAGUCAGGCUCGCAUACGGGCCAGACACACGGGCGUGUGGUCUGCCCGUGUAACCCUUAUUGGUAUGCUGGCGUUAUAAACAUAAUACCCUCUAUUUUUUGCAAGGCCUAGCACACGGCCUAGACAUGGCCGUGUGGACAAGUCAGUAACUAUGCCCUGUUUUGCCACAACUUUGACACAUGGGUGUGUCUAGACCGUUUGAGGCACACGGGCGUGUGACCUUUUAAAAGGUGAAAAUUUUUAUAAAUUCUGAAACUUAUAUAUGUUAUCAAUUGGGUCUCGAAUGCAUGUUUAAGUAUUGUAUACUAAAUUUUAUGUGAUUAUUGAAUGUGAAUGAAGGAUUUUCAUUAUUAAUGAGAUGAUAUUUGUUAUAUGAUGGUUCUGAUUUGAGUUAUAAGUCUGGUAAUGCCUCUUAACCUAUUCCGGUGAUGGUUAUGGGUUAGGGAUGUUACACUAUGUCCACUCUCAAAAUAUUAGGUCCCAUUUCAAGCAUCCAUCCAUGAUAAACCUCAUCAUCAUAUCUCAUGAAAUAUUUAAAACAUAAACAUGCAUCAUUAGUAGGUUUACAACCUAUAUCAAUAUGAGUCAUAUCUCAUGGCUAGAUACAAAAAAAAAAUAGGUAUACCAUUUAAGCCUUUACAUUGGCUAGCCAAAUAACACAUACAACAAAAUAACCAAAAACCCUAUACAUGCCAUUAAACAAAAUAAAAGUAUCUAUAUACCAAAGCAGAACAAGUUGAUAGUAUGUUGAUUCUCCAACCAUCUUCCAAUCUUCACGAGUUCACGAGCUUUGUAAGACAGGGAAAAAAGAAGGGGGUAAGCAUUUAUAUGCUUAGUAAGUUCGAAUAACGGGAAGGUAAACUUACCGGUUAUUUAACAUACAACCAUAUUAGUCAUACAUCCUAUCAAGUAUAGGAUAGUUUCCUAUCACAUGCACUCAAAUCAUCAAGUUAGUCUCAUGUCAAAAUAUUAUAACGUUAAUCUAGAUGAGAUCAUCAAUUCAAGAAUUUACAUUCUUAUUUCUCAUUUUAAUCCCGUUGAAUUUCUCAAAAAUCUCGAUGGAUAGCUCAUUUACCGUCAAUUCCUACAGGCGAUCAUUUUCAAGCAUGCACUCCCACGAACCUCACAUCUUACGGCGGGAUUACCAUUCCAGGCUAAAUCCCCCUUAGAGUGAAUCCAUGAAGUGAUGUCAGGAUUACCAGUUUAGGCUAAAUCCAUUGUAACGACAAACACUCUUAAUGAGCUCGGAUUUAAAUUACCAAUCCAGGCUAAAUCCAGACCCUAAUCGGAUUACCCGUCUGAGCUAAAUCCAUAAUGCACACAUAUUAUUCGAGAGGUUAGGUCACUUUAGGAACACCCGUCCGGGUUAGAUCCUUUCUAUACCGAGAUCAAUGGAUUACCCGUCCGGGCUAAAUCUUUUUUUACAACACAUGUAGGAUCUUGUAUCAUGUAAGAAUGGCGUAUCCAUCAGAUAUCCCUUUUGAUUCAAUUGAGACAUUUUACCAUAUCAUCAAUUUUCAUGAAUUAUUUACAUUGAAAAUCACCAUUUAAAAUCAUACAGGAAUAUACACUUUUAGUGUAUUUAAAUAGUCUACAUUCGAGUUAUACGAACUUACCUGAUAGUCGUUUUGGAUUUAUAUUUUCGUUAUUCCAAAACCUUUCAUUUUAUACAGUCGACCUCAGGAAUUGGUUUCUUAGGGUCUAUAUCAGUAAAAAUAAAUCAUUAAUACCUUACAUUAUUCAAUUUCGGCUAAAACUCACUCUUUUGCCCCUAACUUUUUACAUUUUUACAAAUUAAUCCUUAGGCUCAUAUGAUGAAAUGCAUGAAAUUUUUAGGUUACCCAAGCCUAGCCAAAUAUUUUUAAUGCUUAUAGCAGCCCACAAUUUUCCUUCAUUUCAUAUUUUUCUACCCAUUUUUACAAUUUUUACAAAAUGGUCAUUUAGGCCAUUUCCAUGAAAACUACUUAGUAAAAGUUGUUUACCAUCCUUUAAACUUUGAUAUUCCUCCAUAAAUCAUCAAAACACAAGCAUCUCAUGUAUGGGUAAUUUUCUAAACAUGAACCCUAGCUUGAGAUAUGGGUAGAAAUAGAAAGAGUAUGUUACGAGGAUCUCAAAAAUACGAAGAACAUUAAAAACGAGGCUAAGAUUGACUUACUAUAUAGCUUGAAAUGUUAGAAAACCCUAGCUAUGGAUACCCCUUCAAAUUCGGCAGCAUGGAGAAGAAAAUGAGUAAAUUUUUGCUUGAUUUUCCCUUUUUUAUUACAUUAAUUAACCAAAUGACCAAAAUGCCCUUCCUUACUAACCUUUCCAAAUUUUCCAUGCAUGCCUAUUUUUGUCCAAAAACUUAGAAAUUGUGAAAAUUUCUAUUUAAGGACCUCUAAUUAAUAAUCCAAAGCAAUUUCACACAAAUUGCUUCUAGAACCCAAGUUUUGCAAUUUAUUCAAUUUGGUCCCUAAUUUCCAAUUGGGAACUUUAUACUUAGAAUUUCUUCAUGAAGCUUUAGCACAUCAUAUGUUCAUAUUCUAGACCUCAUGAUAAUCAUAAAAUAAAUAUUUUAACGUCAAAUUUGUGGUCCCGAAACUAUUAUUUCGACUAGGCCCUAUUUCGGGAUGUUACAAAAAUUCUACAGUUUUUCCUUAAAUUUUAAAACAUUUCACCUUCUUCUAAAAUAAAUAAAAUUUUAGAUGUAAAUUUUUUUAUAGGAUAAUAUAAUAUUAAAAUAAAUAAAUUGAAAUUAAAUUAAAAUUAUUCUCCAUUAAGUGAUAAGUAGCUCUUAUCUAUUUAUUAUUUUUCAUAUUUUUUAUAGAAAAAUUCUAUCAAAUUGUUUUUAUUUUGAAUUACCAAACAUGCAUAAAAAAUUAAAAUUGUAGAAUACUACAUCGAUGGUGAACUUCUAGUCACUUGUAUCAACAAUUCUAAAGUAAACGAGGAGUGAAUCCUUGAUUCGAGCUGCACCUUCCACAUGAGUCCUAAUUGGGAUUGGUUUACAACUUACAAAAUAGUGUCUGAAGGUGUUGUUUUGAUGGGAAAUAAUGUUUCGUGUAAAAUUGUAGGUGUAGGAACGAUUAAAGUUAAUAUGUUUGACGGAGUUGUCAGAACACUUAGUGACGUGCGACAUGUUCCAGAAUUGAAGAGAAAUUUAAUUUCGUUAAGUACUCUUGAUUCAAAAGGGUACAUAUGCACAGUUGAAAGUGGGGUUUUGAAGAUUUCCAAAGGUUCCCUUGUUAUGAUGAAAGGGAAGAGAAAUACUGUUAAGUUAUAUGUUUUGUAGGGUUCUACUAUUACCGGUGAUGCAGCUGUUGCUUCCUCUUCCUUGUCAGAUGAUGAUAUUACUAAACUUUGGCAUAUACGCCUAGGGCAUAUGAGUGAGAAUGGCAUGGUAGAAUUGAGCAAAAGAGGACUUCUUGAUGGGCAAGGAAUUUGCAAACUGAAGUUCUGUGAGCACUGCGUUUCUGGGAAGCAAAAGAGAGUUCGAUUCACCAGAAGAAUCCAUAACACGAAAGGAACGUUGGAGUAUAUUCAUUUUGAUCUGUGAGGGCCAUCAAGAGUGCCUUCGAGAGGUUGAGCUGAUUAUAUGCUAACUUUUAUUGAUGAUUUUUCCAAAAAAGUUUGAACAUUUUUCCUGAAGCAGAAAAGCGAUGUGUUUUCUGUAUUUAAGUCUUGGAAAACUAUGAUUGAAAAACAAACGGGAAAACAAAUAAAAUACCUCUGCACAGAAAAUGACUUAGAAUUCUGUUCUAAUAAGUUUAAUAAACUGUGCAAGUCAGAAAGGAUCAUGAGACACUUGACAGUUCAUCAUACUCUACAGUAAAACGGCGUUGUAGAACGAAUAAACAGAACGAUCAUGGAAAAUGUUAAAUGUAUGUUGUCAAAUGCCAACUUACCAAAUUUGUUUUGGGCCGAAGUAGCCUCUACUGUAUGUUUUUUGAUCAAUCGAUCUUCAUCCGUUGUCAUUGAGAAAAAGACUCCACAAGAGGUAUGGUCUGGUAAUCAUGCUGACUAUUCUGAUUUAAAAAUCUUUUGGAUGUUGUUUUUGAUGAAAUUGCUAUGCUACCUAACUUAUCUCUUAAAAACUCUUCCAAUAAAGAAAAUCAAAAUUAGGUGAAGCAUCAGAUUAAUCCAAAAUCUACAAUAGAGUCAACUCCUCAAACCAGUACAAAAAUUCAAAAUAGAGUUACUUCUUCACCAAAAUACUCUAUCGCCAAAAAUAGAACUAGAAUAGAAAUUAAACCUCCAAAGAAGUAUGCCGAGGCUGAUCUAGUAGCUUAUGCUUUAAAUAUAGCUGAAGAUAUAGAUGCAAACUAAGAGCCAUCUAAUUAUUCUGAGGCGGUUAGCUGUGAAGAUUCAAAAAAGUGGAUGUUUACUAUGCAAGAGGAGAUGGAAUCACUCCACAAAAAUAGAAUAUGGGAUCUUAUGAAACUUCCUAAAGGUAAAAAAGGUUGUUCGUUGUAAAUGGGUGUUUAAAAAGAAAGAAAGAAUUCUAAGAGUUGAAGAAAGCAAGGCUUGUUGCAAAGGGUUACAAUCAGAUUCUAGGAGUGGACUUCACAGAUGUGUUUUCCCCAAUUGUGAAGCCCAGUUUGAUUCUAGCUUUGCUUGGUAUUGUGGCCAUGCAUGAUUUGGAGCUUGAGCAGUUAGAUGUAAAAACUGCAUUUUUGCAUGGAAAACUUGAGGAAGAUAUUUACAUGCAAAAACCAGAGGGUUUUAUAAUCUCAAAAAAAGAGGACUAUGUUUGCUUGCUGAAAAAGUCCCUUUACAAUUUGAAACAGUCACCAAGACAGUGGUACAAGAGGUUUGAUUCCUUUAUGACUUCUCAUAAUUUCAAAAGAAGUAGCUUUGACAGUUGUGCUUACUUUAAGAAAAACAUCGAUAGUUCUUUUGUGUAUCUACUCUUUUAUGUUGAUGACAUGUUGAUGGCAGCGAAAGAUAAAGGAAAAAUAAGAAAGGUUAAAGCCCAACUAAGUGAAGAAUUUGAGAUGAAAAACUUGAGACCAGCAAAGAAGAUACUUGGUAUAGAGAUUCUCAGAUAUAGAAAAUCAAGUAAAUUGUACCUAAGUCAGAAGGGGUACGUUGAAAAAGUUUUUUGCAAGUUCAAUAUGCAGAGUGCUAAGCCUGUUAGUACUCCUUUAGCAAUCCAUUUUAAACUUUCAUUGGCUUUGUCUCCACAAUUAGAUGAUAAGAUUGAGCACAUGUCACAUGUUUCAUACUCUAGUGCAGUGGGAUCUCUCAUGUAUGCUAUGGUUUGUUCACGUCCAGAUUUAUCAUAUGCAUUUAGCACAGUUAGCAGAUACAUGGGGAAUCCCGAUAAAGAAUAUUGGAAAGUAGUUCAGUGGAUUUUAAGAUACUUACGAGGUACUACCGAUGUUUGGAAAAACUAGAGAUAGAGUCAUUGGGUAUGUUGAUGUUGAUUUUGCUAGAGACCUUGAUAGAAGAAGACCUCUUACAGGUUAUGUCUUUACAAUCGGAGGUUGUGCAAUCAGUUGGAAAGCCAUUUUGCAAACUAUAGUCACUUUGUCUACCAUUGAAGCUGAGUACAUGGUGAUUAUUGCGGCUUGUAAAGAAGCUAUUUGGUUGAAGGGACUCUUUAGUGAACUCAAUGAAUACCUUCAAAUCAAUACAGUAUUUUGUGGCAGUCAGAGUGCCAUCUUCCUUACAAAAGAUCAAAUGUUUCAUGAGAGAACAAAACACAUUGAUGUUCGAUAUCAUUUUGUUCGUGAUAUUAUUGCUCGUAGUGAUAUUGUUAUGAGCAAAAUUAGUACUCAUGAAAAUCCUGCAGAUAUGAUGAUUAAGUCACUUCCUAUAACUAAGUUUGAGCAUUGCUUAAACUUGGUUGGUGUUCAUUGUUGAAGUUAAACCCUUAAGGGGUUUUAUGGAAGAGGUGGAGAACUUGUUCGUUGAGAGUUCGCGAUGAAGAACUUAUUCAUUGAAAAUUCAUGUCAAGGUGGAGAUUGUUAGAAUUAAGUGACCCGAAUCCUUAUUUAAAUAAAAUACAGUGGUAAAAUAAAAUAAAAGUAAAAUCUCUAUAGAACUACACUUCUUUUAUUUUAUUUUAGAAUAAGGUUUUUUAAACCUUAUUAAACUCCAUCCAUUUGAUAUUGAUUUAAAUAAGGUGUUUCAAUCUUACUACACUCCUAUUAGAAUACGAUUUUACAAGCCUAUAAAUUGACAGUCUAUUCCUCUUGUAAUUAAUUCGAAUUCGACAUAGUGAUUUUUUUCUUCUCUGCCCGUGGUUUUUUCCCGAAAUAGUUUUCAUGUAAAAAUUUGUGUGUUGUUUAUUUUAUUUCUCUUUUCUUUGCGAUAUAUUAUCAUUACCGACGUUCUAUUUUUUUUUACAGAAAGCUUAUCAAAUAAAGAUACAUCAUUUUAUAUAUAAAAAAAAAGUCCACUAAAUUAUUCUUUUAUUUUUAUUUAUACUAAUAAAUUAUUGACACUAAAAAUAAUUUUUUACUUAAAAUUAUCUUUAAAUUAAUUAAUUUUAAAAUAUAAUAAUUUUAAUAAAUAAUCCAGCACGACCAAAUCUAAUAAUGAUAAAACAAAUUUAUUGUAAUAGAGACUAGAGAGGCAGGCUUGUUGCUACACAUCUUCUGCCCGAUAAAUUAUAUAGGCAUAAUUUACUGUUUAAUUCUUAAAGUAUAUUUAAUUUUCCACUUUGGUACUGAAACAUUUGUUUUCUAAUUUGGUACCUUAAGUAUCAAUUUUCUCUAUUUUUGGUCAAUUUUGUAAGGGCCUUUAAGAAAAAUCUAUUAACCCACUUUGGCCAAUGGAAAAGUACAAUGUGACUUAUUUUGACAAAUGAAAAAAUACCACAUGACAAUUAAAUUUUUUUAAAAAUAAAAAUAUUAAAUUUUAUUGAUAACAAAUAUAACAAUAUACACCACGUUUCCUUUUUUAAUAUUAUAUAUAUUAUAUUGAUAAAAAUUGUAAAAAUUUAUAUUAAUAUAUAAAAAUUUUAAGAAAAUAUUUUUUAUAAAAUUCUAAAAUAUAUAAUUAUAAAUUUUAAAAAUUCAAAAUAAUAUAUAAAAAUUAAUUUUUUAUGAAAAUUAAAAAUGUAUUUAAAUUUCAAGUAAUUGCAAAAGAAAAAAAACUUGAAAUUUAAAUACUUUAUAGAAUUUUAUAAAAGAAUUUUAUUUUCAAACUUUUCUAAAUAAUUUUUACAUUUUUUUACAUUUUUUGUAAUAUAUUAUUAAUUUCAACUAAUUUCUUUUUAAUUAUCGUAUUUUUUGUAAAUUUUAUUUUUAUAAUUUUUUAUAAUUUAUAUUUUUUCUAGAUUAUAUAUAUUUUCCUAAUUGUUAUAUAUUUAUUUUUGUUUCAUGUUUUUUAAUGAGUAUAUAUGUUUAAUGAAAGAAACUAUUUAUUUUUUUACAUAAAAUCUCCACUUUGUGAUUGGUCAUUAGAUUCUUUUUAACGUCUGUCAAAAAAUGAAUUAAAAAAUAUAACGAAAGCAUAUCUUAGAUUCAAAUUGAGAAGUGAUUGAUAUUUUAAAUAUCAAUUAGUAAUAAAAAAAUUUAGAUAUCAAAAUAGAAAAUUGAGUAUAACUCAAAGUCCAAAUUGUAAAGUAAGCCAAUUAUAUAAUGUGAAGGAUCCAUUUAAAAACCUGAACUGAAGGCCCACACUGAUCCACUAUAUGAUAACAGGAUUUUCCAUCAAUUUGUUAGUUAUAGAGUUUUUUUUUUUGUUAAAAUAUAGCAUAAGGACCUUAACUCUUUAUAAAUUUUAGAAUUCAGUCUUUUUAUUUUUUAGAUUUUAAUUAAUACAGUUAAAAUUAUUUUGUCAAAUUUUAGUUUAUUACAAAGUCAUCUUUUUAGUUAUAUGACUAUGAAGUAAGGUUUUUUAUUUUCAAAUGUCACAUCAAUAAAUUUUUUAAAAAAUAUUUGUAUUAAUAAUUGAACUUAAAUUUUAAAAAUUUUAAAAAAUAAAGAGAUUAAAUUUGUAAAAGUAAAGAUAUAAGGAUUAAGUUGUAAAUUUGUGUAACCAGUUCCCCACCUUCGUUGAAUAUGAUAAUCGAGUAAAAAUUCAAAUUCAUGAUAUUUUUUUCAGGAAGAAAAUAUUAAACUUUAAAAUUCCCCCAGAAUAAACAGAUGGAAAGGCAACAUCCAAUGAAAAACAAGCAAGAGACGUGUGUUAAUCCCAACCAGUCCCGUUACUGCAAAAACAAGUGGAUAAAAUUGGAGCAAACAUUUUAAUAUCAAAACUGCCACUAUGCCCAUCUGAACCAGCUUCCUCUUCUUCGUAACAACAAGAAACCAAACCACUACCUGUAAAUGGCAGUGCCUUCACUCUCCUCUUUAUCCAUCAACCCUCUAAUUAGUAUUUCUUCUUCUUCUUCUUCUUCUUCUUCUUCUUCAAAAGCUUCAUCCCGCCAUCUUCCCUCAUUCUCAAAACGUUUUGGCGUCUAUUGCCAGGUUAAUAAUUCAGAAAUCAAAGCUCGAAUUAGCGGUGAGUAAAUGAUAUCUUGAUUCUGCUUGUUCGUUUCAUCAAUUAUUAUUAUUAUUAUUAUUAUUAUUAUUAUUAUUAUUAUUAUUAUCAUUUUUAGGUACUCAAUUUUAACAUAGUUUUCCUUUGAAAAAGGAAGAUUGUUCCAACAAUACGUAUGAAGUUAGGGAUGCUAAGUUUAAGAUCUGGAAACCCUGGCUUUCAACAGCAUUGGCAGCAGCCAUAGUUGUUUUUGGCUCUGAUAUCUCUGCUAUGGCUGAACUUAAUAAGUUUGAGGCAGAAACUCGUGGUGAAUUUGGUAUCGGAUCUGCUGCACAGUUUGGUUCUGCGGAUUUGAAGUGCGUUUUAUUACAACAUCUAAAUUAUAUGCUCAACAUCUCUGUUUUUGGUUUAGGAAGGGUUUGAUUUUCUGUCUUAUGUCGUGCAGAAAAGCUGUUCACGUGAACGAAAAUUUCAGGUAACUUUUCAAAGUAAAGAAUUUCAAUUACUUCUUGGCAAUCAAACUGAGGAUUCACUAGUGCUCAUAAUCAAUCCGAAAUCUAAAUGGUUGAAACAGAAGGGCAAACUUCACAUCUGCUGAUAUGAGGGAAUCUGAUUUCAGUGGUUCAACCUUCAAUGGUGCAUACCUUGAGAAAGCAGUUGCAUACAGAGCAAAUUUCACAGGUAAAUUUUCUGCCAAACGAAAUUAGUUUACUUCAUCCAUGAUAAUUUGUAACACAUACAAGUACACAUAAUGACAAUUUUUUUUUCCAUCAAAUCAAACAAAACUAAAUGAAAAUUAUAAUCUAUUUGUAACUCAUGAAAUUAUCUAGAAGCUCGAACUUGCCCAACUUUGGAGAAAAGUCUUCUCUCUUUUCCUUUUGUUUGUAUCCCUGGUUGUGCUAGACCUGGAGGCGCUUCUCUUUUUACUCCUUGGGCUAUUUGGUACCCUCUUUUCUGUAGUAUUUGGACAUUGGCUUGAUAAGCUUUCAGAGUUCUGGCGAGAAUUUGUGGAGAAUCUUUCUGAAUCACUUUGUGCUUCAAGUAAGGGAUCUUCUGCAUCAGACAGCUUAUGACUAAAUCCUUUCAGCUUAAAACUAGUUGAUUCCAAGAUACCCUCCUCCCUAUUUGGGGAACCCCUUCCUCUAUAGCCAUUGGGAGAACCAGAAGUUGAAUCUAUUGUGUCGAGUGGAGACGUGAAGUUGGAUGCUAUUUCCUCUGUUAAAUCCAUAGCUUCAUGCUCAGAAGUUUCUGAUAGAUCAUUAAACUCCACUGAGCCUCUAACCUUUGGCAUAUCCCUUCCUUCUUCUGAUGAAAUAAGGCUAAUGUUGUUACACAGGAAUAAUGGCGUCCCUAGAUAUCAAACCGUACCCGGACUCCAAUUCAUCUUUAUACUGAAGGUUCCGCUUCCAUUGAUUUUAUCGAUUCAAGUUUUUUCUCAUCAUAACUGGGGCUAGAGUAUUGACCUUCAGAGCAUGGAGUUUGAAACUUUGUUGGUGGAGUAGGAAAAUCCCGGACAGCCACGACCCUUUUGUGGGGUUUAUAGCCUUUAGGCAAAACUUUCUCAGGUGAUUCCGAAGCUUCAUCAUCUGAAAUUGUGAACACGUCAAUGGGAUUCGGAUUUGGGGUACCUUCAGAAAUUGUGACCGCGUCAAUGGGAUUCGGAUUUAGGGUACCCAAAGCUUCGUCAUCUUUUCUUUCGACUCCCUUCGGGGAAAUAGAUUGAAGCGCAUUAUAAAGUGGCGAAACCACCAAAGCCUCAGGUUCUGAUGAACAAUAAGACGAGGUAGGGCUAGACGUCUCCGAGUCAUCUAAAUGAUGUGCGCAUUCGUAUGCAAAUCUCUGCCACAGAGCAAAAUCCUUAGGAAAAUCAUAUCCAGCUUUUCUUUCUAUUUGUUCUCCCAAAGUUUCUUCGGGAAGAGCACGAUUGUUUUGCGAGACCAUUGUCGGUUGUGGGUGAUUUCAGUACUGAGGGUAAUUUGAAAAAGGAAAAUCAAUAUGAAUAUAUAAGAGAAGAUAGCUACAAAACCGGAAACAAAAGGCAAAAACCUUGAUUAAUCUUUAAAGUUGAAAGAAAAGCAAAAAGCAUACCUCGGGAUUUAGGGUUAACAAGAUAUCGGUGAAGGCAAUGAAACGUUAUAUAGACCUUACGUUCCUUGUGUUGCAAGUAGGUUUUAGAGUGUUGGGUUAAUGUUAGAAUCAUAGUCGGUAUUGGAAUCAGAUUAACUCGAGACCCUAAAACAAUUCAAAUUAAAUCGGUAUCUACCAUAAUUAUGUUUAUUAUAGUAAUGCAAGAACUUUAACGUGAAAAAGCUUUAAAUUAAUUUAUUUAUUAUUAUGUUUCCAAUCUACGGUAAUUAUUUUAAAUUAAAUUAUAGAUUUAAAUUUUAAAAGUGUAUCAUUUAUAUAUUUGUAAUUUAUUCUCUAUAUUUUUUAUUUUUAAAAUUUUAGUUUUUCUGUUUUAGACUUUAAGAAUUUAUGUUCAAUUUUUUAUUAAAUUUAUUUAUGCGAUAUUCUAAUUUUAAAAAAAUGCCAGACCUAAAUCCAACACAUUCUUAAAAUUCAAGUAAGUAUUUUAAUUAAAAUAAAAUAUUUAGAUUAAAUAAUAGUACUAUAAAUGUUGAGGUACUGCUAAAAUUUAAUUUUUAAUAAAUACUAAUCUUAGUUUUGAACUGGAAUCAAAAUUAGAUCAUUUUUAUAAGUAAAGGGGCCAGAGUUUAAAUUGAACUAGUAUGUUAGCAAUGUAAAUGCAUAUAAAAAUAAUAGUUGAAUUUUAAAUUAGUAUUUCCUUUUAAGUAAAGUGAUAUUUCAUAAUUCUACAGGUGCUGAUCUUAGUGACACAUUAAUGGAUCGCAUGGUAAAGUUUUCCAAACUUUGGUCUCUCAUCAUUUGAGCAGAUGUUUGGGUAAUAAAUAAAGAAGUUGAAAAAAUUGAUUUGGUUCAGGUUCUCAAUGAGGCUAACCUUACAAAUGCUGUGCUAGUAAGAUCAGUCCUCACCCGAAGUGAUCUGGGUGGUGCCCUGAUUGAAGGCGCAGAUUUCAGUGAUGCUGUUAUUGAUCUUCCUCAAAAGCAGGUACUUAAUUCUUUACAUUAUUUUUUUUCUUUAUGUAUAUCUUCCAUUUCUAUGCAUGAAAUACUAUAAAAUGGGAUUGACUAUAUAUUUUAUUUAUUAAUGAUUAAACAAUAAUAUCUGAAUAGUGAAUAUUAACGGCUUAUAAAUAUAUUCUUAAAAAAUUUAUUUAAAUAAUUAUCAUAAAAUUAAUUUAUAUUUAUUAGUAAAUUUUAAUUAAAUAUUAUAUAAGUUGAUUUUUGGAACUCGGUACUCAAUUUGAAUUUAAGGUAAAAAUAUCUUUCCAAUCUCUAAAAAUUUCAAAUUUAAGUAAAUUGAUCCCUCUCAAAAAAAUUGGAGCAAUUUAAGUCCUAUUAAUUUUGGAAGCAAGUAAGUAAGGACAAUUAAUCACGAUGUUAAUAUUUUUUUGUCAAUUGUACCUAAUUUUGAUUGGUGUAAUAACAAAUUUAGUUUUCGAUGUUUACUUGUCUUGUGUAAAUGUUGGCCGAAUGUGUAAAUUUUGCAAGUUAAAAUUUGAUAAAUCAAUACCAACAUGACAAAAUGUGUAAAUGUUGUAGGUUAAAUUUGUUAAAUUAAGACCAAAUUGACAAAAUGUGUAAACUUUUAAAGUUAAAUUGGUUAUUAUAUCAAUAAAAAUAUGUACAAUUGACAAAAAAGGGUUGUGAUUAAUUGUAUUUAAUUGCUCACAUUUGAAAUUGAUAUUGAUCAAAUUGCUCUAAUUUUUUUAAAGGGACUAAUUUGCUUAAUAUUGAUUGAGAGGGGCUAAAGAGGUAUUUUUACCAAAGUUUAAUCAUGAAAUUGGAUUUACACUGCUAUUGAUGUGUACUAGGUUGACACGGCCAUUGAGUUCUUUAUCAGUGGGGACGUUGCCGUUACCGCAAAAUAGCAAACGCAACACCGCCAUUACUAGAUAAAUAUUUAAGCUUUUGUUCUGCCCUAAAAGCAGAGCCAGUAAGAGAUAACCAUCAGUUUAAAUUAGGGGAAAAGCAGGGUCGGUGAUGAUUUCAUGGAUUCAUUUUUGUGUCACUCAAGAUAGUUAAUGUGCUCUAGUUCAAGAACAACAAAGAAUAGCAUUAAAAAACUUAAAAACGAAUCUGAAUCUCAUUUUUUUUUUCAGAUUUCAGAUACUUGAUAGGCUUGUCUACAUCAGGGUCUAACGAAUCCAUAUCUAUAGGUCUAAAAAUCUGCAACUGAAAGAUAACCAGGAUGCCCAAAGUCAAGGAUAUUAUUAGAUUGAGUAGAGGUUAUUUUUAGAAUUGGGAAUGUAUACAUAUUUUCGAGCUUUUUAAAGCUUCAUUUAUAUUUUCGAUGAUUCAUUUAUACUCCAAUUUCUAAUACUCUGUGAGCUCCUUUUUGUUUAUUUUUCCCAAAUAAUUUAUGGGUUUGCUUACGUAGGCUCUCUGCAAGUAUGCAAAUGGCAAAAAUCCAAUAACUGGGGUAAGCACCAGAGCAAGCUUAGGAUGUGGAAACAGUCGACGAAACGCUUAUGGUUCCCCUUCCUCUCCUCUGUUGAGUGCUCCACCUCAAAAAUUGCUAGACCGGGAUGGUUUUUGUAACAAAGAUACUGGCCUUUGCGAAGCCAAAUAGUCUUACCUCUUAACCAUACGCAAGGAUAUCUCAUAGGCACACUCUUGGUGGUGCGGGGAACAAAACAUAUGCUUUUGUGUUGUCAUAUGAUGUUUCUUGGAUAAAAGUUAAAAAACUUGUCAUCAACAAUACCAUGAGUUUAAAAUUGGAAUUUGGGUCAGUUUUUAACUAGAAUUAUGUUGUUAAAAUCCUUAAAUUUAUAGCUAUGCAGCACAACCGUAUUGUCAUUUUGGUGUAAAAUUUCAUCUGUCUGAUAAAGUGAAAUGUCGAGAAGAUUUCUGCCAUUCUGAAAGCUUAUGGCUUCCUUAAGAUCUAAGAGACAUUGAUAUGGAUCAUCUUCUGUCUCAACUGUUACUUCAAAAUCUGCUGUCCUAAUGAAAAUAGCCUAACCCCUAUUAAAUACCACGAAUAGGUUGAAAAGGUGAGACUUACUUGACAGGUUCAUGCUAUCAUUUUGCCUAUGCACUCUUUAAAUCGUCAAAUUGUGGCUUCACACCACUUUCUAUGAUCGUGGGAUGGCCAUCUGAGUGGAGCACUAGAGAGAAUCUACCUUAUGGCAACCAUCUCGAUGCAUUUUAGGCAAGACUAGCUUCAAAAGAUGUUUGCAGAAUACAUAUAUAUAUAUUGAUGCGAGCAACUCAGUCCAAUUAAAAGGUCAUAAUAGAGAUGAGUUUAAUUUCUCUCAAUGCCCAGUUACGAGAUCCAAAUCUAAACAGAUAAAGUUAAAAUUCAACUUAGUUGUUCAAGACUUUAUCACGAAGACGAUGAAUUUUGGAGUAAUGAUGAAUUAGAAAAGACUAAUUAUGUUCGUGGACUUAAACUCUCAAUCUAUGAUAAUAAGCCCAUGUAAAAAAUACUAACAAGCUUAGACAUUUCACUUCAAGAGCGCCAAUUGAUUAUAGGGUUCGAGUUUUAGACUUAAUUUUUAUUAUAUAUGAGUCCAAUAUUUUAUUUAUCAACUUUUAUUAUUUUAUUAUUAUUUUAUUCUAAAAUUUUAAUAAUUAUUAAAAAUUUUAAGUUAUUUAGAAGUUUAUGUUAACAAGAAAGUUUAGUUUAAAACUAUUUAUAUAGAUUAAAUUAGAGUUCUAAUAUACUUAGAAUUUUAUUUUGAUUUAUUUAGCUAGUCUAUAUUUAGGCCUUUACAUUGUAUAGAAUACAUUUAAUUCAUUAUUAUUCUAUUAUUUUAUUUCUUUUUUUGAGUUAAUGCCAAGGUUUCUAUUUUGGUGGAAAUUAGAGCAGCUUGAAGGGAUGGUGGAUUCUUUGUAUUCUAUUAUAUAUAUAUAUAUAUAUGUGUGUGGGGGUUAAUAUCACUGAUAGCCGAGAAGUUUAGUAAAUUUGUCAAAGUGAUACUUUACUCCUUUGUCCUGACUUGGCAGAUUUAUCCAAUGACUAUUUUGUUGGUCAAGGUCCUACCUAAUAGGAUUGUUGAUCCUUGGAAGCUACAUUCCUCGUUAGGCGACUUGUUCCUAAACUGUUAGUUGGCAAUGUAGGAAGUUCGGGUCUUGCUGGUCUUGUGUUUUCUUUAAGCUAUAGUCUGAGUUCUAUAUGACUGGCCUGUUUUAUCUGCUGGUAUAUCAAAUACUAUAUAACCUAGAAAGAUCAUCCAUGUACUUGCAAUUGCAAAACCAAUCAUUAGGGUCGCACUAUUUUCCCAUAUAAAUACUAAAGCCCAAUUUGUUCCAUCUUAUCCUCAUCCGUAGUGGUUGGAUGGCCAUGACCUUAAGUGGAGCACUAGAGAGAUUCUGCCUCGUGGCUGCCCAUCUGAAUGACGUUUAAUCAGGCGAGGCCAUGCUUUCCCUCGCAGUUUAAGUGACAGUAGCGGAUUUAACAAGUGUUGAGGGUGUCUAAUGAAAUUUCAAGACAACAUAGAGGAACCUAUCUCUGCUCUCAAGUCAAGCAUGGAUCACUUCGUAAAGAAAUCAAUCAAGAUCCUUCAAAUUUAUUGUUUUGUCUUUGUUCUAGUGGACCCGCAGACACAACAUCCAAAACAAAGAAGAGCUAAACAUUCAUAAUUGAACAAAAGGUUGUUUGUUCCUUUUAUGGCUAACUUUCAAGUGUUCCAAAUCAGGGCAAGCCCCCACUUUCACCUUCUUUUUUAAUGUUCUCCUACUCAUUUCAAUUUAGGGAAAACAGUAUGAAUCUAAACUAGCAUGUGCAAGAAUUAUGAUUAUCAUACAACAUAAGUAACCGUAUAGGAUAAAAAUUAUAGCUGCCACAGUUUGUUCCAAUACGUAUACGAUCUGCAUAUUCCUAUAGAUUAAUGCCAAUCAUUGACUAAAAGUUAACUAUUCUGAUGAUUUUUCUGUAGGUUUAUACACAUUUUUUUUAGGAUUCUCCAAAUGGCCCUAUUUAUGAGGACAAGGAAUAUUUCCUGUGUAUUCAUAAUUCUACUCGUCAGCUAUAUGUAAUACUGUCUGUAUUGUGAAUAAAUACUGCUUGCACUCAAAUCUUUGUUUAUUGCAACCUGAACUUGGCAUAAAUGCAGUUAAUCAUUUCAUGUUAUUUAUGCAAGUUAUUUUAGCUAUCAACUUUUUACCUUAUUACGAUAUUGCAUUAUGGGUUAUAUUUACUGCAUGUUACUACUAAGUUGCUGACUAGAUGAAUUUUGAGUUACAAAUAAAUAAAAAUAUAACUAAAAGUAAAAUAAUUACGUUGUUCAAAACCUUUUCCUACAUUUGUGAGAUUUGGUUUAAAGAGCAAUCCAUUAUAAUUCAAUAGUAUAAAAUGUUAUUUAACUCAAUUUGCUAAUCAUGUGCAGCAUUACUACUAUGCAAUUAUCUUGAUUCACUCACUGUUAAAAUUUUUCCGUUGAAAGCUUAAUCACAAUUUGAUCAUAACAACAUAUUUACAAAUCCAAAAUAAACUCAACACAAAUUCCUCUAUUAAACAAAUUAGUGCACUUUCUAAAUUGUAAAUAAAACAAUAAAAAAAUCUUGAAUAAAUUGAGAGUUGUAGACUUGAAAAACCAAACUAGUAUAAUUGAAAUAUACCACCAAAGUUUCACUCAAUUAAGCAUUUGAGAUGACAAUAAAAAAAAAGAGACAUUCAUAAAAUAAACUUUUAGGAAUCUAAAUCUCUUUAAAUAAGAUAAGUAAAUUAUACUAGGACUUCUUGAAAAUAAUCUUGUUUGAUUGAAUAUAUUAAAUCAAUUAUAAUUUUAAAAAUCGUUAUUUAAUAUUUUUGAAAAUUGCUUAAAAAUAAUCAAAAUAAUUGAGUCUAAAUGGUAAAUUGCAUUUCGUCCAGGUUGUAACUAUAAACAUUGACACAUACAUGCGUAAUUGCAACUAACGUUAUAACUAGCAACAUUGACAUAUGCAUGACUAAUGAAUCUAAUGCUGAAGACGUAAACUACCAUAAUUUUACUACACCAUUAGUAAACAAAUUAUAAAAGAAAAAAUUAAAACUAAAUUCAGUUGAAUUCAAUUUAAUCCUCUAGUUAAUUAUUAUGAUCUAAACAAGUACAAUUGCGCCCAGAAGUUCAAUUAUUCCGGUAAAUAAUUAGUCAAAGUAAAAUAAAAUGAUUUAGCUGAAUUGCAAGGUUAAACUGGCUUAAACUUAUUCAAUUUAUGAGCUUGCCAGCUCAAUAAAGCAAGGGAAUUUCAGACAGUAUGGUCCACGAGCUUGAAAUUAGAAAGAAAAUCCUUAGUGCCUGGAGGUUUUUGAAACAUUUUUUAUUCUUACAAUAUAUUAGCAAUUUCCUAAAGAGAUAAAAGGCUAAUUGAGACAUAAAAAAGAGAUUAAGUACAAGUCCAGACUCCGGGAAGUGUGGAGGCUUGGAAUUUGGGAGACUAAUAAUAGUGCCUCACAUGGAGUUUUUGUUUCACAUGCUCAAUGAUGUUAUCUUACUUAGGCUUCAAACAACAGUUUUAUUGACUCCUAAUUAUUCAGUCACACCUAAAAACAUCAAUGUGCCAAUGGCUUCCUUGCUACGGACUAUGGCAGCCUCUCUCUCUCUCUCUCAUAUUUACAUUUGGUUCAGAGAAAAUGGAUGAUUAAUUCUUCACAAGUGAACAAAUUUAGAGAGGAAGCCAUGAAAGGGCACUGCAAAUAAAAACCCCAAGGAGAAAAGACUAAAAUUUCACGUCAAACUUAGUCAGAAAAAGAAGCACUUGCUUAUUAUUCAUUCUGCUACUUUCCAAUGAGGAACCCUUGGGCUAAGCAUGCCUACCUACAGGUUAGAAGUGUUUCAUUAUGAGUCCCUGAGACACGCCCAAUGAUUGUGUCCCUUGGAAAAUUUUUAUUGCUUUAAAGGGAUUUUCAGGCUUGACUUCAACUAAGUAAAAGGAUGUUGUCCAAGUGAAUAACAACCCAGGUAUUGUACUGCUUUUCUUGCCGGUUUGUCCUGUUAUCCCAUUAUUACUAGAUGCCUAAAAGCUUGUUUCCAUUACUUGAGGUAUUUAAACCAAGCUGGUAGUUCAUGUGGUCAGUGGACAAUUGCAGUCACCCUCUCCCGUACUUUUCUUCCAACUAUGCUUGCUCCUUCAAGUGUUGAAACCCUAGGAGGUCAUCGUCAAGGCCUUAGCAGCAGAGAUCCAUCACUGUUCCGCCUCAAGUUUAAUGACGUUUUCCAUGUCAAAUAUAUUUUGUCUUAUGCUGCCUUCAACUCUUCAUGGUAUUUCCAAUCUCUAUACUUUAUACAUAUAUAUGGGUCUGCAGUUUCCUAUAUAUGAUUCCCUAUCUCAUAUUUUCACGUCCAACUCUUUGCAGAAAGAUCUAAAGAGUCUGCAAAUCUGAAGGACUCCAUCUUAUUCCAUCUUCUUGAACAGGUAUGUAGCUACACCUAAGGUAUCCUGCUAGUAAAGAUUAUUCCAAUUAUGAUUUUUUUCCCUUUCUGGGUGCAACAUGAAAGAAAAACUUAAUUCAAUCUAUUUGUAUUUCUCCAUAAACUUUUAGCGAAAAAUAUGUGAAUAAAGAAUGGCUGAAUAAAUAUUAGCAUCUAAAUUGAUUAUUUGUUAAAAUCUGGGAAGUAACAACAAAUUUUUCAUUAAAAUACACAUGCAUCCUCUCUUAUCUCAGAUUUGGUGGUGUAUUAUUGCAUCUGCCACGCUUUCAUUAUCAUUAUAGCUCAACAUACACAGUUUUUUAAUUCAUCAUCAAGUACUUCUGCUCAGCAAUUAAAACUAUUAUAUUAGAAACAAGAAGGAUAAAGCUUUUGCUUACACCCAUCAGCCUUCAGAAGAAAACGUACGCAUACUAUCACAAUUAUAACAAGACCACAUCAAAGACAGGACCAAACUCCAAAACACUCAACUUCAAGAACCUGCAUAUACUGUGCACAAGCUGAGUCAACCACCACAAACAUUGCCUGUAGGACUGAUAUAGCUACAAGCAUGCCAUUUUUUUUUUCAAUUUUAUUAACUCUCUGAACUGCUGGCAUUUAGCUUAUCUUCAUUGCACGUAUAAUUAGUUAAAUACUACAAUACUAAGAAAUGAACUUAAGAUAAGGUCUCAUUUAGCUUGAGAUGCAUAGUGAGUGUCAAACUUUUUUAUUAUUAUUAUCAAAGAGGAUUGAAUUAAUUAACUUACUGAAGUGAAAAGUAAACCAUAAAAACAUAAAUGAAAGUUGCAAUAUUUGCAGAAGCAUUACCAACUUGUAAACAUAUAUGAUCUAAGAAGAAGAUAGAAUACUGUAAGAAACCCUUCAUAUAAUUAUAUAUUAAGCUGCGUAAUACAUUCGAUAUUAGGUCUAGUCAAUCCCAAAAGGGCGCUCGACCAAAGUCCAUCAUCUAAAAGUACUAGUUUAUUGUACUUGCAUGAUGUUCAAUCUAAUAAUAUCUGCAUAUGCCUUGUAUAAAUCAAUACAUAUUAAAGGCACCAGCAGUCCCAUAGCUAAUGAAAUUCCAUUAUAGUUUUAUUAUAUACAGCAACCUGGAUUAAAGACUUCUUUUCUUUUAAGUUUGCUACCUAUAAUUAAUUGGUAUAUAUGCUCUAAUUGCUGGAAUAUGGUUUCACUUCCACAGAUCAAUUUGACAACUCGAAGUGGAUGUGGAGGCAUAUUCCUGAUGAGCAAUUUCUGGCCUUUUGGAUUCAUUGGACGCUAAAUUCAUUUGUUCAGCCACAUAAAAGCUGGUGUCUGCAUUGCAGUAGUUGUUUUCCUUUGAAGCUUCCUCAUGGCUGAGCUGAGAGGCAACAAACUUGUCAAGAACUCGCCAAUCUGUCACUUGAUCCACUGCUUGUUCAGUAGUGCUGUCAUAGAAAGACUUGAGACUUUGCUGAUGCGUUGGGUGCAUGUGCUCUUCUUGUGUGAGGGUUGAGGACUGCAAAGUGCUUCCCGUUUUCCCAUCGUAGUUACCGUCAGGAACAACUAAGUUGCAGCUUAAACUUGCAGCAGAAUAUUGUUGAACAUUGGGAUUUUCCAGCUGAGGGAGCUGAAAGGUAGGGUCAUGAGGGGAAUUAUAUUGCAACUUAAGCUCAGGCUUGCAGGGAUAACGGUGAUAAUAUGAUGCAUAAGGCUGAGGAAUUCGCCUUGGGGAGUCGAGUUCCUGCAUGAAUGAUACCUGGCCAUCGUACCAACAUGAAGAUCCGUAUUCACCCAUUUUUCGCACCGUUGUCAUUCGCUUCUUGAACACCCUACAAACCACCCAUCCCUCUUCCUGGUGGAAUAACAAAGAUAUCAAACUAAUCAUAACUAUUAAAACUAAAAACAUCAAGGAGAUUGCAUAUGCCUGCAUGCUUAUAUAUUUAUUUGAAUAUAUAGAAAAUGUGCACAAAUGGAAGUUCAUCAUCAAAUGUGUCUGAACACAGAAAAAUAUUAUAAGAUAAAAAUUACGUAAACAGAAACCUUUCUAAUUCCUUAGAUAAAACAGUGAAUAUACACAUGUAUAUAUGUAGAAUAAUAACCUGAGGAGUUCCAUUUUCAAUUGUUUCUAGUCGAUACUCAUGCAUGAUCCAAUCGGAUUUUUGUCCAUUGGGUGCUCUUCCUUUGUAAAAAACUAGGGUUUUCCUCAUGCCAAUAAGGCUCUGCCUGGAGUAAAUAGGUUUGUCUCUUCCAGUAGCUUUCCAGAACCCUACUUUUGUUGCUCUAUUAGUGCGAGUGCCUGUUGGAUACUUCUUAUCCUUGUGGCUAAAGAAGUACCAUUCAUUCUGGUCUUCAGUUCCUAUUCUGCACAAUUCUAUAUACAUCCAGACCAACCAAAAUAUGAAUUAGCUGCCUCAGAUUGUUGUUCUUUUAUAUGAUUUGUGAAGAUGGGAAAUACUACUAUACCUUGCAGGUCCCAUGGUUCGAUUUUAUAAAGAUCAACAUCUUUGAUGACAUCUAAAUCUAUCUUCGAAGCAACCUUUUUUCUAAGGUAGUAAUCAACGAGUUCUUCAUCUGUAGGAUGGAACCUAAAUCCUGGGGGAACGUGUGAAAAGCUAUUCAUGUUGUUCCAAGACCGAUCAAACCUGCAUUACCACGGCGCACUAUAAUAUUUCAGCAAUAUAUGUGUGUUCAUACAAUUGGAGAACUAAAUUCUACAGAAACACAUGCAGAUAUCAGACAUGAUCCAAAGACAUGCAAAUUAUGGUAUGAAUAUGAAGGAUCUUUGAGCAUGAGUUUAUUUGAGUAACGUCUAGCAUUCAAGAAGAAAUUGGUACCCAACAAGAGUUCUGUUCAACCAACGAAUUAACAAGAAAUAAUAACAACAACAACAAAAAUUGUUCACUGUAGCCAAUAAUGAUUAACUUGUAUGUACUUCUAAGACAAGUUUUGUCAGAUGGAAAGAGCUAUCAUUUCUUAUGCUUAACCUUUUCAAUGCACAAUAUAUUUAGAGUUUCAGUACCAUAUCUUAAAGUUGCCUACAAAAUGUUCAUGCUGUUCCCUAUGCUACCAAAAGAAGGUGACAUCGAUCCCAUAUGCAGUUAUGCAUACAUAGAAUAAAAUAGUAAUUUUAUCUUAAAUUACUGACAGAUCGAGGCUUUAGGUUAUAAAUAGCCUCUUUAAGAGUAUAACAAGGUGCCAAGACUUGUUUGGAACACUCAGAUAACAUGGAUACGGGUCCUGUCAUUCCUUCUUUUCCUAAUGAUAAAAAAGGAGUAUAACAAUGAUGCUUUUAAGUUAUUACUCCAAUCUUCUUAUUUUUCGUAUACAAUUUAGGGUAAUUAGCUCUAGGUUUCAAACUUGUAACUAAUCUUGGGAUGGUUGGUUAUUUUUGGUCGCAACUGGGUUAGCUGGUAAAGAAUUAUAAUAGGGAUAAACUCUCGAAAAGAUGAGAAAUUGAGAACAAGAAAUACUUUUCAAAGGCCAUUUACUUAUGAGUUUUAACUAAUAUCAUUAAGUAGCAAAAUGUGCAAAAUAGAACUAAAAUAUUCUUGUAUUCAGCUAUAGGUUAAUAAAUGGAGAGUAGACAAACAAUGAAUUAAGGCUUUCUCCACUCAUACAACCAUAUGGUUAAGAUACAUAAAGAACUUGAGCAGAUCCCCCAUAAAAUCUGAAAAAUGAUUUUUAAGCUAUCAUCUAAUUUAUAUGAAGUGAGAUCUGAACUCAACCAUCUCAAAACUGCUUACAUUUACAUGCGAUAUAGAGAAACAGGAUUUAUUCUAUAGGUUACAAUUUAGAAAGAAAAGGUGACAGUUCUCUAUGCUGGAGAGAAGAAAAAGAAACAUAUAUAACUUGAAAAACCUAGGAAAUAUGAUGAACAAAAAACAAAAGCAUAAAAUAUCAGCAAUAAACAGACUAGGGAUCUAUGAAACAAGUUUAUACAAGGGAAACAAAAAAAUAUCAUCGAGAUCGAACUGAAGCCACUUGAGCCAAAAGGCAAAUCUUGAAGAAGGGGUGAAUGAAAUAGUGAAACACAUCAUAUCUUAUAUAAUUUCAUUGCUUGCUUAGCUUAUACCAAAAGUAUCUCCCACUCUUUUCUAGAUAAACUAAAAAGGAAACAACAAAGGACGAAAGAGGAAGAGAAGCUCACGAUGACACAAGCUUGCUAAUAUUGCGUGUACAGCAACCCCCAAUACCCUAAACCAACUCAAAACUGGCUAAUCCUCAGAGAUCUGACGGAAGACCAACAUCAUGUGAUUGUUAAAGCUAAGAAAUUAACUUUACGCGAACUUUUUUGUAACUUUUACGAGGCGACAAUAUAUGAACCAGACAAAAGAACACACCCAAAGACAGAAAAGCAAGAAAGUUGUGGGUGUAAUGAAAAAGUAAUGAGCCUCGGGAAUUGAACUGAGAGACACCUCCAACCCCUAUCUCUUUGUAGAAUAAGGAAGCUACCCACAAGUUGUCGGAAGGGGAAGAGGAAAGAUCAGAUCCCAACGAAGGAAAUGGGAAAGAAAAAGGGAAUAAGGAAAUGGUAGUCGAGGACUGACGAAUGGGAAGAGAUUAAAUAAGAAGGGUUAAGGGGAAUGAAUAUGAAUAGUGGCAAGAAACACACAUGCCCCAAUAGUAUAUCCCUCUCAAAUAUAUUCCCUCUAUCUAAUUCUAAAUUUUAUCCUUUUUUUAUUUUUAGAUUUGAGAAAUUAAUAUAAUCGUUGAUGAAUACGUGAAAUUGAAUUAAUAAUAAAUUGUUAAGCGGAUUAAGGAUUUAAUUGGAUUGAGUUGUAAAAUUUUACAAAGUAGAAGUAAAUAAAGAGAUUAACUCCUCAAUUCAUAAAUAUUUAUAAUAUCAUCAAGGGGCUUGAUUGGUAAAAAAGCUUUGCGGGAGAAAAGGGAGGCGGAAGAUUGGUAAUAGAAUUAGAGAAGGAAGCGGCAACCUCCAAUGGCACCCACCAGCUACUGAUAAAGACCAGAGCAGAACUUGUGUUUUAAUUUGCUUUACAAAAAUAUCAUAAAACAGAUCUAACAAUGUUUUAACCAGGUGAUCCGACGGUGAAGAUUAAUUGUGCAGCUCCAAAAGCCCUUCUCAGAAGCCAAUCAUUUUUUCUCUUUUAAUUACAGACAUGAUCACUACUCUCUCCCUUCCUUUUUGUAACUCCCAUAAUUUUAAAGCAAAAUAUAUUUUCUUUCCUAAAAAAUAUUGCAUUUUCUUAUUCAUAAAUAAAAGCUACAAAAAAAAAAUUUUUGAUGGAUGAUAUUUUUGGUGGUGCUCAUCACUCAUCACUUAUUCUUUUACUUAUUUCUUUGCACUUAUUACUACUACUACUAUUAUUAUUAGGCUUGUUAUACUCUUGUAUUCUCCCAUACACCGCAGGAUAUAUAUUAGACUAAGAAAUAUUAGCCUUCUAGAAUAUAUUGGAUCAAUUACAUGCUUAAUAUGGUGCAAGGACGGCUUUAAUUGUUUUUUUUUUAACAACAACCUUUUAUGUUUAGAAGUGUUGAAGGGUUGAACUGGAUUAGUUGAGUCAGGUCUAAACAUCAUAUAAAUAUAUUUUAUAUUUGUUUAAAUUUUGUUCGAUUUGAAAUAUAAACCUUACAAUUUUUUUAUCUAAAUUUAUCUAUUUUUGUAAUUGAUUGACCCAAGCCCUUUUGAAAAUCACCCGUAUUAUUUUUAAUUUUUUUAAAAAUAUAUUUAUAUUAUUUUAAUUUAAUAAUUAAUAAUUAAUAAUUAUAUAUAUUUUUAUUUAUUAAAAUUUUAUAUAGUCGUCUUUACAGUUUUUUAUGUUUACAUUAUAGUAGUAUUAAAUAUUACUAUAUAUUUAUUUUUUAUGUAUUAUUAAUUACAUAAUAUAUAAAAAUAACAUAAUAUAAAACAUUACAAACUUUAAAAACGAGUCGAGUUAAGCUUUAAAUGUUCAAGUUCGAGCUCGACCCACAAUUUAAAUGAGCCUAAUUUUUUGGGCUUAAUAUUUUUACCAAAAUACUCCCAAAUUUUACACAGUCCUUCGAACAUGGACAAUAACCUGCCCCAUGAAUAGGUCUAAUUAUAUUGUUGAUUUGAUAAAUUUAGUGGAUUUGAAUAAAAUAAUUAAUAAAUGUAUAUCAAAUCAAAUUAAUAAAUAUUUAAAUUUAAAUCUAAUCGAAUUUUUAAAAAUAGAUGAGCAAUUUGAAAAGAAUAUUUAGUAAUAGAGUUUAACUUGGAUUAAAUAAUUUUAAAAAAUCACUUUUUAGAUUUUCAAUAACAUGUGACAUCAUAUUUUUUUAGUGUUUGAAUAAUAUAAGAUAAGAUAAAUUAUUAAAAUAAUCACUUUUGUUUGUCUCAGGUUACAUUUUAGUUACUUAUGUUUGAAAUGUUACGUUUUAGUCUCAUACGUUUUCGUGUUGUAACAUUUUAGUUACUGAGCUAUUAAUUACCGUUAACGGUGUAAUGGUAAGCUGAUAUGGCACGUUAAAUCAUCAUUUCAAACGAAAUUUUAGGUUAAAUUCUAUAAUUGAUCCUUAUAUUUUUUUUUCUUUUUGAGCAAUUUAAUAUUUUUAGUUUUAUGUUCUUUUAACUUUUUUUUCCAUCCUUCUGCUUCUCCCUCUGUUUUUCUCCCUUCUCCAACUCUUUUAACCUAAUUUUUCUAUGCUUUCUAUUUGUUAAAACUAGUCCACAAGCUUGCUUCAGUCUAAAAAAUUAAAUUGUUAAAAAAAAUAAAAGUAUAGGGACUAGUUUUAACAAAUGGUAAACGUUAAAAAAAUGGAGAAAGGAGGAAAACAGAGGGAGAAGCAGAAGAGAACAAAAAAUAAAGAAAAAAAAAUUAAAAGAAUAUAAAAAAAUUAAAUUGCUUAAAAUGAAAAAGUAUGGGGAUCGAUUGUCUAAAUUAACCUAAAUUUUUUGUUUGAAAUGAUGAUAUAACAUACCACAUUAGCUUAUUGUUACACAAUUAACAACAAUUAACGGCUCAAUGACUAAAAUAUUACAACUAGAUAACGUAAGUGACUAAAACAUAACAUUUCAAAUAUAAGUAACUAAAAUGUAAUCUGAUGUAAAUAAAAAUGACUAUUUUAAUAAUUUAUCCUAUAAUAUAGCAACAAACAUAAAAGUAACUCUUAUUAGUAUUUUAACUCUAAAAUUAAUAAAACUAAUAUUUUUUUUUAUAAAAUUGUAAAACCACAUUCGUAUACCUUGAAAUCUUAUACCUUUUAAACCCUAUAUCCUAAUCUAACCUUUUCUUAAAAUUAUAAAUUAUAAAUCAUAAAAUUCUAAAAUCUAACCCAUCACAUCAUAAAUCAUAAAUCUAAUUAAAUAAAAAAAUCAUAAACUUCGUGUUACUAUUAUUAUUUGUUAAUAUUAUUUAAUUAAUCAAUAUUAGGAUUAAAAUAUUAUUGAGGAUAUUUGAUCUAGUAUUAGAAAAGGUAUGAUAUUAAUUAGAAAUUAUUUUUUUAAAAAUAAUUUAAAGUCUUACUAAUAUUUUAUUUAAAUUUAAUUAUAAAACUUCUCUUCUAAUUGCUUAUAAAUUGUAAAAUCAGCAUUCGUGAUGGUGAAAUGAAAAAAAAAAUCAAGAUGUCAGUAUAUAUCAAGUGAAUAUUGACUUUUUUUUUAAUGAUAGUAUACGAUAAUUUCAUGGCAUCAUAAAUAUCAACUAAUUUUAUUUGCUUGUAAGAUCCUUAUAGAAUAUCUAAUUAUACUUGGAAGAUUAUAAAAAAAAUAUUAUUGUUGAUUUUAGUUGGAAUGUUAAGAUUUAACAUCUAAGUUUAAAUUUUAUGUUGUCUAAACUAUAGUUGAAUUUUGUCUAUAUUUUUUUUAUUUUAGUUAAAGAUUUUUGCCAUAUCAUGUCUAAAAUUAUUCUUAAAUUUUAUUAAAUGAUUAAAAGAUUAUAUCUAUUUGAUCUCAAGUUGAAAAGUCUAUUCCAAAUAAAGUUAUAAACACUCGUUGAGGGUAAGUAUCUUCUUUGGAAUGUCUCAUUCUCUAAUCGGAAGGUAUUAUCCUUCUUUCAUACUUCGAAGAGAGUCUAGUCAAAUGGUAUCAUGAUUGUAGAGGUAAGGCUUUAAUGCCUUGGUUAGUGGUUCGAACUCCCGUAAGUACAGUAUGAAUAAUUAAUAUUUCACACAAUACCGACACUUCUCUCGUAAGUUUACAGGUCGAGUCUUUACUAACCAAUGUGUUUCUUAAACUCUAUAAACCCUUUAGACUAAUCUUAAAAUAUGAAAGACAAAACUCUAAUAUGAAAACAAUAACUAGUUACAAAAGACACUUGAAACCAAAUGUUCUCCCUCAACAACACUAAAACGAUUUGAUAAAGUUUAGAAUAUAUUUUGUUGCAACUUGUAGGGUAAAAUAUAUAUUUACCGGAUCAUUUUCGUCAAUCUUCAACCAAUGAGAGAGGUUUUGUUUAUACGAAAUUAAGUUAUAGAAUAAUGAUGUAGACUCAAUCAAAUUUGGAAAUGUUAUGUAAUGUAACAUUAUCAUCUAUCUUUAUAAUUGCAGUAUGAUUCAGAAUUUGCUUUGCAUAACAAAAUUAUAAAGCUGUGGUAUGUAUUUAGUAGAAAUAGUGAAGAGUGGAGAGUGGAACCAGAAUGCAGAAUGAUAUGGGGUGGUGGCUAAAGUUCAGUCUGUGAUCGCUUCUGGGCCUCUAUAGCUUCUUUUCAUUUCUUUUUAUAAAUGGUAUGUUGAUAAUCCAAAUAGGAAAAUUCCAACUAACCAAUUUUUUUAAUGGGCAUAACAUUAGUAAUAAUAAAAAAAACUAUAAGUUGACCCCCAGAAAUUGGUUAUGUUUAAAAGAUGAAUAAACUGUUAUGGUGUUCAUAUUAUAUUUUAAAUCAUAUUCGCAUCAAUAAAUGUAAUAAUUAUUCUAUAUAUUAAUGAAAUUAUAAAUAUAAAAUAACGAGUGAUUUGUGUUUGGGACAAAGUAUAGAUCGAAGUGAAGCAAAAGUCUAUAAUGUUAUCCAAGUGUCAUCUUCACAAAAAAACAUAGUUUUAUUUAUUAAUGAUUACAAAUUUUGGAGUAUUUGCAAGGUUGAGUUUUAAAUUAUAUUAUAUUAACAAUAAAAAGACAGGAAAAGAGAACAUAAUGGUUAAUUAGGGUGAGCUUUUUUAAAGUGUAAAUUAAAAGAAGAAUGUUGUUAGAGCAUUAAAGUAAUAUAUUUUAUUUGAUUCAAAUUGGAUUUUAUUAGGCGUGGUACGGAUAAGAAGAAGAAUAUGUCAGCCAAAAAUAAAGACAAAUUUCUAUUCCCUUUUGUUUUGGUGGCUUGUUGCAGCAUAAUUCCUAUUUUUGUAUCUGUGGCAUUGCAAAUGCAAAGGUGUUGUGAAACAAAACAAGGGGGAAAAAAGCAACUGCUGGGCUCUGAUUUUAAUCAUUGCUCAUAUAAACCCAUUAUUGUUUUGGACAUUUUGGUUCCCACGUUUUGCCAUGGGAAUGGGCAACUCUUCACAAAAAUGCCUAAUUAAAUGCUUUCCAUGUCCCUUCUCCAUUGCUCUAAAAUAUUUUUCUUAACUGAUUAAUCUCUCAACACCUCUUUUCUACAUGCAUUAACCCAUUGUAUGUUGUAUGUGUCUAGCUUGGGCAUUUCUGUUUCCAGCAAAUCAUUCCUAUAAUAAGUAAGGCACAUUAAUUCCCACAAUAAAUGAUAUUUUCAUUUAUUUUUUAAAUUAAUUUAAUUUUGAAAUCAUUUCUGUUAAGUAUAUUUUUCCUUUUACAUUAUUACAAACUAUUUUUAUAGUUUGUAGGUUUCUAAUAUAUAUAUUUACAAAUUUAAAUUCACAUAAAAUAAAAAUCAUUUUAAUAUCAAUUAUCAAGAUUUUAAAAUUAAACGUAUAUUUAAUUAAUUAAUAUAUACAACUAAUCCGGAUAUACCAACAAAUAGGUAUGGAGUAAAACUUAGGCAUUAUCAAGUAGGCCAUAUGAUUCAUAUAAAAAAGAAGAUGAUAUUAUUUGAUAAAAUAUCUCUAGUAUUUUGAACAUCAACGUCGAAGACUGUUAAGCAGUCCAAUAUUCAAAGGGAUAUGGGUUAGAUUUCCCUUAGAAACUUAAUUCAAGUGGCAAGUAUGAUUAGCGUUAAAUUAAUUAUAAUAGGAAUGUAGACCGAAAUAAAUUCGAUGUACAUAUAUUAUUUUCCAAGCAGAAGCUGGGAAAGUUAACUAAUUUUGAACAAGGAUGUAAGAAAUAUUAAUUAUUAGGCCAAUCCUAUCUAAGGUUUUGAUUUGAGCAGCAAAGCUGACUUGACUUAUCACAAAACAAGCUGCUCAGCUGUUUCUCUGUUUAUAUCACUGUCUUUGUCCACGCCGCCGACAUCAACUUAAAAGCUGAAAAUAUUUUGGCCUAAGUCACAAAUUACUACCUAAAUUAUAUUUAAAUAUUUUCAUUACUUAAAACACCCAACCAAUCAAAAUGUAAGUUCGAAAAAAAUCCACGUCUAAGUGUUUUGACUAUCAAAUAAAAUUUCCAAUGGAAAACUCUAUAAAUCUCGAUGGUAUUUCUUCUCUGUCCGAAAUUGAAGAUGGUGGUGGAUUGCGGGCAGAUGUUGAUCUCAAUAUAAAGAAAGUUCGAUUCAAAGGUGGUAAUAAUGAGGAAAGCACUGAUAUGUUGGUUGAAUCUAGAUCUGGCCCUACGAUCACAUAGAAUGCCAAACUGUUGGGGGUUAGUUUUGGAGAUCAGGAUAAGAAAGGGCUGGUCCUUUCUGGUAUUAGUGCUGUUGAAGACCUUGAAAUUUUGGAAGGAGACAUACAUAGAUCUAUGAUUAAUGGAAUCCUUGCCAUUGAUUUUUCUGAAAAGAUUCAACAAAUUUUAUACAAAGAAAUGGAGUGAACAGUUGUUAUAAAACUGCUUGGAAGAAAUAUUGGAUAUGGGGCAUUACACAGCUGUAUCAGUAGUCUAUGGAAUCCUUCCAUGCCCUUCCAUAUCAUGGACAUAUAGAAUGGAUACUUUUAGGCUAAGUUUCAAUCCCUAAAUGAUUAUGCUAAGGUUCUGUUGCAGGGGCCUUGGCUGAUCUACGGACAAUAUUUGACUGUCCAACCUUGGACAAAGGAAUUUACACCAUCUCAACCAUAUCCAAGCAUGGUGCUGGCUUGGAUAAGACUACCCGGCCUUCCAGGGUUUCUGUACAAAAAGAGGAUACUUGAAGAAAUAGGGGGGAUAAUCGGCAAAGUAGUCCUAUUGGACUUUAAUACAGACAGUAGAACUAAAGGUAGAUUUGCCUGGAUAGCCGUUUAUAUUAAUCUAGAUAACCCCCUAAUUGCACAAGUUCUUGUGAAUGGUUUACAUCAGAAGGUUGAAUACGAAGCAUUACCCAUGAUUUAUUUUACCUGUGGGAAGUACGACCACACCAAAGAACUGUGUGUCCCGUUGCAACCGGAAACAUCAUCGGGAAAGGAGCAGACAGGUGUUACUCCGGUAAAGGAUAUGAACGAAGGAGAAGGUGCCAUUUAUGGGCCAUGGAUGGUUGUUGAGAAAAAAAGCAGGUGUGAUUCUAGGAACAGUAACCUCAGCAAAGCGGAUCUUCGGGAACGAGGAAAAUUAGGAUCCCGAUUUGAUGCCCUAGUAAAUAUGGAAACUUUGAAACUGGAUGAAGCAAGAAAUAAGGAAAUAGAGGGACAAACGAUAGAUUUUAGGGAUACCCUAAAAGCUGGAAAAUUUAUUGAGUAUUUGAUGAACAAUAUCGAGGAAAACCUAUUUCUAGAAAAGGAGGCAGAUGGGGGGAGUUAAAGGGGAUAUCGGGCUUGGGAUUUCUAAAGAAGGAUAGAGCAGUGGGCCCAAGUUCUGCUGCUAUUGUUAAGGCCAAUGGAGUGAUAGGCCUAGCCGGAUCUAAAAUGAAUAUGGACAUUUCUUGCGGUGGGCUAAGUCAGCCCAAUGGCGUGUUGGAUCUCCCUUGUACUAAGUCAAGUUCUCAAAUUGAAGGAACAAGGGGUUUUUCUAAUCCUUUAAAUGAUUAUGUUUCUAAUAAGUUGAUGCAGAGUGUUCUAAUUCAAUUUCUAAUUUUUCCAAUUCAACAUCCAUGAACAUCUCUUGUUUUAAUCCUGUUUUUGCUGGACAAGAGGACAGUGAAGGAGAUGUUUUUAAUUUACAUACCAAGGCUGAUUCGAAGGUGCCAGAACUGAUUAAAAUUCAGGUACUGACUGCAUUGGUGGUUUAAAUCCACAGAGACACACUACUGUCUCCUUCAAUGAGAAAGGACCAGUUGGGGGAAUCAAUUAAGGAAAAAAAAUCUACCAAAUUCUUGUGGUAAUAAGUCUCGGACCUUAGGGAAAUCGAUGGGGAAUAAUGAUGAAGGCUUUGGAGCUACAAAAAAGAUUAAUAAAAUUACGCAUGGAAAAGGGAUUAAUUUUAAAAAUAAAAUUUCUUUUAAAAUUCCCUUGAGUGAUUCUAUGUCUAGGUUGGCUUAGACAGUCUCCAUAAUGUAAGGUGCUAAAUCGAAAGCUAUUGGCCUAGAUUCUGGUAAAAGUAUCCAAGAACGAUUUGUUAUGUUUUGGAUAGUAUGGUUUUAUUUUUUGGAGUUAUGUUAUUUCUUUUUUAUUAUUAUCUAUUGUUUAUGGAUUUAAAUUUAUCAAUUUUCUCUUAGAAUUGUCAAGGUUUGCGAGUAGUAAAUUCCUAUGGGCUUUUCAUGAGUAUAAUCUUGAACAUAAACUGGAUAUUGUAUGCCUUUUGGAGCCGAGAGUUAGUGGUAAAAAAGCUAAUGCUAUUAUUGAUAAAUUGGGUUUUGAUUUUUCUCAUUGCAUUGAGUCUAUUGGUUUUUCAAGUGGGAUUUGGGUUGGAUGAAAGGAUAAUAUUUGCGUUAAUAUUAUUCAUAAUCAUCCUCAAUUUAUGCUUCUUCGUGUGCAAGGCACUAUUGUUUUUAAAUCCUUUUUUUAUUUUUGUCGUGUAUGGUAGCCUUGAUAGAGUUAAGAGAAAGACUCUUUGGACUAGUUUAUUGGAAGUUUUACCUCCUGAUCCAUUACCUUGGCUUAUCUUGGGGGACUUUAAUGCUAUUAUCUCUCCUAAGGAUAAAAAAAGCAAUCGUUCCAUUGGUAAGAGAUGUAAGCUUUUUGGAAAUUUUGUUAACUCUUGUAAUUUGCAGGAUCUUGGAUUCAUAGGGCUGGCAUUUACUUGGCAAAGAGGUAAUACCCAUGAAGGAAUUGAUCGAGCCUUAGCAAAUGAUUCUUGGAUCUCAGCCUUUCCGCAUACCUUAGUUUUUCAUCUUCCGCUUAUUAAAUCGGACCAUGGACCCAUUCUUAUUGCUAUUAAUCUUGAUCUUAGCCUUAUGAAAGGGAGACCUUUUUAUUUUCUCACAGGAUGGAUAAGACACUCAAAAUUUAAAAAACUGGUCUCUACUAAAUGGAGGUUUACAGGAAAUAUGGCUGACUCUUUAUCUGAUUUUACUUUACAUGUCAAAUAUUGGAACAGGUCCGUUUAUGGAUUUAUAGGCAUGCGCAAGAGACAACUUAUGAGGUUGCUUGGGAAUAUUCAGAAGGCCAUGGAUUGGUCUUCCUCUAGUAGGCUUAUUGACUUGGAGAUGGAGGUUUGGGAUGAAUUGGAAAAUGUGCUUAAUCAUGAGGAGCUCCUUUGGAGACAAAAGGCUAGAUGUGACUGGCUUCAGUUCGAGGAUCGGAAUACCAAGUACUUUCAUAGCUGCACUAUGCAAAUGAGGAAAUUUAAUCAUAUUUUGGCUUUACACACAAGUAGUGGGGAGUGGAGUUCGGAUCAGAGUGUUCUCUGGGAUGAGGCAACCAGGUUUUUUGAGAAGCUGUAUGGAGAAACUCUUACUUCCAUGAGUGCUCUUCCUUUGGAUUUAUUCCCUCGCCUCACAGAGGAAGACAUAGAUUUCUUUAAAAAGCCGAUUUUGAAUGAUGAAAUUAAGAAAGCCCUCUUCAACAUGGCUCUAUUGAAGGCUCUGAGAAGUGAUGGGUUUCAUGUGCAUUUUUUCAGAGUCAGUGGGAUUUCGUUGGAGGGGCAGUUUGUGAAUGGGUUUAGGGAAUUUUUAUUGGUAAUAAAAUUAAGGAGGAUCUUAAUAAUACGCUAAUUGUGCUUAUUCCCAAGAAAGAGUGAUCGGAGGAUUUCAGUCAAUUUUGGCCAAUCAGUCUGUGCUCGGUUGUGUAUAAAUUGGUGAUGAAGGUGAUCGCCAAUAGAUUUAAAAUGGUAUUCCCGAAUUAUAUUUCAUCCGAGCAAGCUGGGUUUAUCGCGGGGCGUAACAUUUCAGAUAAUAUCAUUAUUGCGCAAGAAGUUAUUCACUCGGUGUGCAAUAGGAAAGUUGGCAGAAAUUGGAUGGCCGUCAAGUUGGAUCUAGAGAAAGCUUAUAACAGGAUUAGCUGGGACUUUAUUAAUGUGACCCUUGUUGCUGUUAGGGUUUUCGGUUCCUUAAAAAGGUAAUUAUGGGUGCUAUCUCUUCAUCUACUAUGCAGAUUUUAUGGAAUAGGGUUCCAUCUCAGUUCUUCAAGCCUGUGCGGGGGAUUAGGCAGGGUUGUCCUUUAUCGCCUUACCUUUUUGUCCUUUGCAUGGAAUGGUUAGGACAUAUUAUUCGUUCUAAGAUAUCAGCAGGAAAGUGGCAUCCAAUUCGACUUUCUAGGGCGGGGCCGUUCUUAUCUCAUCUCUUUUUUACUGAUGGCCUUGUUAUUUUUGGCAAAGUAGAGAUUGGCCAAGCUCUUUUGUUAAAGGAAACCCUUAAAAGUUUCUGUGACUUUUCUGGACAUAAGGUCAGUGCAAGGAAGAGUAAUAUGUAUUUCUCCAAAGGAGUCGAUGAUAGUUUAUGUGAUCAGAUUAGCCAUUUCUUUUGUUUUUAGAAGGUUCUAAAUCUAGGGAGUUAUUUGGGGGUGUCUCUCCUUCAUGAUCGGGUUACUAAAAGUACUCUGAACUUUAUUGUUGAUAAAGUGAGAUGUAAACUUCAGAAUUAGGAAGCCAGGAAACUUUUCUUUGCAGAACGGGUCACGCUUGCCCAAUCAGUUCUUCUCACCAUUCCUAACUAUUUCAUACAGUCCUUACUUAUUCCGAAGGGGGUAUGUGAUAAGAUUAAAAAGAUUGCCAGACAGUUCAUUUGGGGAGGCUCCACGGGACAUCCUAAAAAUGCUUUGGUUGGGAUUCCAUUUGUCAACCUAGAUGUCGUGGAGGGCUUGGGUUACGGCAUCUUUAUGAUUAGAAUAACUUUUUCCUUAUAAAAAUUGGGUUUAAUCUCAUCUCUCGAAAGGAUGCUCUAUGGAUUCAUGUUCUUCAUUCGAAAUAUGGAUAGAAGAAUCAACUUCUUGAUACCAUUUACAGAAGCAAUUGUUCUCAUCUUUGGCGUUCCCUAUCUAAAGUGUGGCCACUUUUUUGUGAGAACCUUAUUUGGUCUAUUGGGGACGGUUCAUCUAUCCAUAGUUGGAAAGAUGCUUGGAUUCUUGAUGUUGGUCCCCUUUUGCCUUAUGUUCCAGCUCAUUCUAGUCUUAAUUUAGAGUGCACUGUGAGAGAUUAGGUUCUCCCUGAUGGUACUUGGAAUUUGGAUUUGCUCCGUUUAUGGUUGCUUGACGAUAUGAUUAUGCGUAUAGUUAGCAUUUCCCCUUUGCAUCCUGAUGGGGUAGAUAGGAUCAUUUGGGCUCGUUCUGGCUCAGGGUCCUUUUCCGUUCGAAGUGUUUAUUGAGCCUUAAAAGAAAGUUGCUGAAACUAUUUUUUUUAAAUUUUAAAAAACGAGGAUCGACUUUAAAAACAAAAAUAGAGUCACCACCAAUCCUUUUUGUUUAGGUGUGAUUAGAUCACCUAAUAAAGCAUUUUAUUUUAUUAAAAUAUUGACUUUGGCCUUCGAAAAUCAAGAAAAUGGGUUCGAGAGUCAGUUACGUACGAGAAAGGACUAGCACCCUCACAACGCCCAAAAUUGGUACCUAAUUGAUUAAUUAAUGUCCUAAUGUCGAAAAUUUGAAAAGAUUUUUUAAUAUAAUUUCUUUUAAAAGCAUUUGAAUAACUUGAAUUGGAUGCUAAGAUACUCUUGUCCCGAGGAAAUAAAAUAUCAUAUCCAGCACGUUAGGAUACGACCUUUGAAACCCUCAGAAUCAAUAUCAUCUCUUGAUUUUCGAAACUCAUGCGUUGAAAACUCAAAAGGGAUAUUUGGCUGUUUGGUCAAACAAAAAAUUGAAACCCAGCACGUUGGGGCACGAUUUCUCGAAUUUCCAAACACAAAGUAAUGCCUUGUUUUUUUAACCUAAAAAAACAUGGAUGAAAUUUCGAAAGUAUAUUUAGUUAUUUGGUCAAAUGGAAAAUCGAAACCCAGCACGUUAGGGCACGAUUUCUCGAAUUACCAAACACGAAAUAUUACUUUGUUUUAAGAAGUUUUUAAAUAGGAGCGAUUAUAAAAACGAUGAAAUACGAUUAUUCGGUUUGUUUGAAGUAAAGAAAAUGAAAUGAACAAUUUUAAGCAAAUAAGUUAACAAUUUCAAUCCUAAUCCAAUACACGAAAAUGAAAAACAAAGCAACUAAUAUGGAAUCAUACAUGAUUAACAUAUUAUACAAAUUAUUGGCAAUAAUAUAAAGAUACAAAUACGCAAAUCAAAACACACCCAAUGAUAAUACACUAUUUGACAUUUCUAAAUAAAGAUUAACGAAAUAAUAAAAAAAAUCGAUUUAAACAAUGAAACAAAAACUUUUAAACGGUAAUAAACAAAUGUUAAAACAGAUAAACUUGAAAUCAACAAUAAAACAAACAAUUUAAAAAUAAAUUAUAUGUAUUUAAACAAAUAAUGCAUGCAAAAAUUUAAAAUAAAUCAUAAAAUAAAUAAAUAAAAAUAAUACAUAAAAUAUAAAUUUUAACAUAUAAAUGCAUUUCAAAAUAAGUAUUAUAAGGAGGACUUUAAGAUUAGCGCUAAACAAAACAAUUUACAAUUAAAAUAUAAUAUAAUAUAAAAUAAUAAUGUAUAAUAAAAUAUAAUAUAAAAUAGUAAUGUAUGCCCAUAUAAAGUUUAAAACAAAUGAUAUACAUGUUAGAAAGUUUUAAUAUAAAUAAAUUAUAUAAAUACAACCAUAUAAAAAAUAUGCAAAGGAAUAUAUAUGAAUAACAAUCUAUAUAAUAUGAAAUCAAUGAUCACACAAAAUAAUUUGAAACAAGAUUUAUUCAUCAACAGUUAAUAAUAUAUAUAGAGUAAAAAACUUAAUAUAAAUAAUAUAUAAAAGAAUAACAAUAUAAGAAAAUGCUUGAAAUAACCAAAAUAUAUAAUUUAAAAUUGAGUCCUUAAAAGAAACAAAUAAUAUACAUAAAUAGAUUUAAAAGAAAAUAUACAUAUAUAUAUAUAUACAUGUAAAUAAAUUUAAAAGAAAAUAUCCACAUAUAAUAUGAAAUCAAUAAUGUGUGCUUAGAGUAAAAUUAAUUUAAUGCAUGUAUAAUAGUCAUUGGUUAAAUAUCAUAUAAAUCUUUAAACGUAGAAAUAUAUAAAGAAAAAUUUUAAAUAAAUAAAUUGUAAAAUAGAACAAUUUAAAAGAAUAUAAAUGAAACUAUAAAAUAACAACUGGGACAAUGCAAAAUUAAUAAAAUAAUUCAAGAUAAUAUGUUAAAAGAUGAAUAACAAAUAAAUUUUAAAAAUAAAAGAAUUACAAAGGAUAAAAACAUAAGCUGAAAUAAAGAAUACUCAAUUGAAAUAAAAAUAAAACUAAAAGGACAAUUUACAAAUAAAUAAAGCAAUAAAACAAAAUUAAGGAUUAAAAUACAAUGCGCACAAAUGUCCGAGGAUUAAAAAUGAAAAUGUCUCAAUUUAACUAUAGACUAAAUUAAAACUGCGUACAAACCUCAGGAAAAGAAUUAAAAAUACAAAAGAAAAAAAAGGGAUCCAAUCGAAUCGUCAACGUGCAAGAGAAGGACUAAAUACGUAAUUCACCUAUCUAGGAUAAAAACGCGUGGAUCCUCAUGGGUACCGGGUCGGGUCAAACCGGGUCGCUCUGUGCGAUGUCGUUUUGAGGCCACUGAAGUAGGGCCCAAACGGUGUCAUUUUUUCCCUCAUAUAAACAAUAUUUCCUUUAAAAAAAUGAAAUAAUCAGCCCUUUCAAAAAUAAAACCCUAGCCCCCUUUUAUUUCCCUCAAUCCAACCCAAAUCUCCCCUCUUAAUGCCGAUUUGCCACCAUGAACGGCAACCAGCAUGCCCCUCUUGCGGCUACUUUUUUAGCCUGAAGAUCCCCUCUACGCCUCGAUUUUAACGAAGCAAAAGGAAUCCAUAGCAUUUUGUAAGGUAAAUGUCUCAUUUUCUCUUUGUUUUCAAAUGCAUGUAAACCCUAAUGAAAGACCAAUAGAAUCGAAAGAAAAUCAGAAAUUUAAAAAUUUUGAUUACUUUUUUUGUAUUCAGUAUGCGUUUGUAAAAAAAAAUACAAGUCUCUAAUAUGGCUUUAUAUAGCCCAAUGAAAAAUGAAAAUACUAUUUUGCUUCUUUUUUCUGUUAUUUUUCUUCUUCUGGAUUUCUUAUUUUUUGUCGUUUUUUGGCUUCUUCUCGCAGGUUCUAUUGACGCGGGGAGUGCCGUACGGAGGAAAAGGCUAUGGUGACGUGGAGGGGCCGUUCGUGGGAGCAGCGGUGCAAGGGAUGACUAGGGUUUCAGUUUCUGAAACCAAUGUUUCGGUCAUUUGGGCCGGUCUUAGGAUUGGGCCAUUGUAAUUGGGUCUGGUUUCAAUUGGGUUUAGGGUUAAAUUUGCAUCUGGGCUGGUAUAAAUUUGGUAUUUGGGUUUAUUGUUUGUUUAUUGGGCUAUAAGUGUAAAUGAACUGGACUGUUUUAUUUAAUUUGGAUUUAUGAUUUAUUAUUUUUGGGUUUUAUUAUUAUUUUAUUAUUUUUUUGGUUCUGGUUUUGGUGUGGGCUCGGGCGAAAUGGGCCUAUUACAAAAGUUCCUGGGGUCUCUCUGAUAAUGCUUGGAAGCCCGUUUGGAAAUACCAAGGUCUACAGAGAGUUCAUUUUUUUCUUUAGCUUGCAGUCAAACAGAGGCUUCUUACUAAUGCCGAGCGAUCCAGGAGAGGGAUUGGACAUAGUAGUGUGUGUCCUCUGUCUGGGCAUGAUACUGAGGAUAUUCUACAUGUUCUCCGCGAUUUUCCGAUGGCUAAGGAAGCUUUGAUGCUCAUUGUUCCAACAGAGAGGCGUUUCAAGUUUUUUUAACCCUUUUCAAAUUUGGUUUUCUACUAAUAUUUGUUAUGAUAAGUUGCAGGACAAGGGUAUUACCUGGUCUUAUCUCUUUGGGAUCGUUGCUUGGAGACUUGUGGAAGAAUAGGAAUCUUCUCAUCUUCCAAAACAUCAAUUGGUCAGCUUAUGAGACCAUUAAGCCCUCCCUCAGUUCAGCUCAACACUUUGAACCGUUCCUAGUUGAAGCCAAAUCUACUGCAACUAAUCCUGGAAUUCAUCAUCACUUGGUUGAAAAUUGGGUCCACUUGUUUUCAGAUGAAGCAGCCACUAGAGAUUCAGGAAAUGUCGCAGCGGGAGGCAUGAUUAGAGAUAGGAACGGCAAUUGGAUUCUGGGGUUUACUCGCUAUUUGGGUAGAUGUUCACCUCUGAAGGCAGAACUUUGGAGCAUCCUUGAUGGUAUUCUUAUUUUAUUAAGUAAGGGUUACAAAAAAAGUCUGGAUUUAGACUGAUAAUCUUAAAGUGGUAAAGGCAUUGUCCGUGGAAGUAACAGUGGACUCAGGCAUUACCAUUCUCAAAAGAGUUAAAAAGACUUUUGAGUUCUGAAGGACAAUGAGAAAUUGAGUAUGUUACCAGGGAACGUAAUUUAAUUGCUGACCACUUGGCAAAGAUCAGUCUUUCUUGGAAGUCACCCCUCCAGCUUUUUGAAGUUCCACCUGAUUUGGUGGUUUCGUCUAUUAAGCAAGACAAAUCUUUUAGGAUCUCUUAGAAGGUUUUAAAUUUGUUAUUUUGUUUAUUUUUCACCAAAAAAAAAACACCCAACCAAUUAAAAAUUAUGAAGUGACACAAACUAAAGUCGUAUAAGCAUUCUCAUGUAUUUAUUUAUAUAAAAUAUUUCCAAAAAGAGUAAUAAAAGAAACACAUUUAUAAUUUUUAAAUAUAUAUGAGAUCCAAAAAAUAUAUUUAUUAAAAUUUAUUUCUAUAAUAUAUUAAUUAUAUGAAAUUUAAAAAAUAUGAAAUUUAAUUUAUUUAUUAUUUAUAUUAUCUAAAUUAUAUACAAAUAAAAAUAUGUGUUUAUAUAAAAUAUAAAUUAAAAGUUUACCAAAGUUGAUGGGUGAAUAUCAAUGGUUAACAUGGCCAUAUAGUUUUUUUUAUGCCAUGGUUGAGCCACAUCAGUAUUAUUGAUGAAGGUACGUACAUAAAAAAAAAUAUAUAUAAAUACCAAUAGCUUAGACACAUUUGUUAGAUGAAAUAUUUACUAAGAGUCACUGUACAGUUAUUACAAAGGAAAUAUAGACGUAAGGGUUAGGGUAGGAUGUUUGGUUUUUAGUAUCUUACUUGCAACCUAAGAUCUUGUUAUAUAUUGAUGUGCAUGUGUGUGCUUCACUGAUUAAUAUCCAAGGAAAAGAAGGCAUUUGUUCUAAAUUUUUAUGAUUCAACUAAUCCUCAAUUAAAAAUAAAAUCUAAGAAUACACCUGGCUAAUAACGAAUAUAAGUUUAAACAAACAAAUAAUAUAGAAAUUUGUGAUACAUACUGUAUAGAAAAUAAAUUAUGAUGAGGGGAGUAUAUGGGAUAAUUAACAUUAACUUCAUCUCAUUAUCCCAAACUACUGGGACCACUACUUUCUUUAUCCAAAACAUGGAGUUAAAUUUGUCUUGUAAUACAAACUGGUUAGUCAAUUUCGUGCACAUUAUACUCAUUAUUCAUCUCUUAACUCAGUAAUUUAAUAUGACGUAUUUACAUUGUUCACUCUUAUAAUAUAAGGAUUUGUUUACUUGAAUUUAGCCUCUAAUUUUAUAUAUAGUCUUAAUGAGAGCACUUUUUUAAAAUUACCUACCUAAUAUACUAUAUUGUAUUGAAUAUGAUAAUUAAUAGUCAGUAAAAUUCUCUAAUCAUCUGCCUGCAACUGCAAGAAACACGUUUUAAAAUUUUAAGUUUUUUUAAUCCUUGAAAAUUGAAUAAAAGGUUGACUAUUCACUUUCAAAGGUCAAUUAGAACUCAAGGCGUGAUGGAUAAUAAUUACUGCAAUUUUAAUGUCUUCAUUUUUCCUGCUGAGAAGGUCAAUUAAAACUCAAGGCGUGAUGGAUAAUAAUUACUGCAAUUUUAAUGUCUUCAUUUUUCCUGCUGAGUUUUGGCCUUUUUAGGAAAUUAAUAGGUAAGAAAUAUAUUAAUAAAAAGAAUUGAUGAAAGGUAAAUAAGGAUUUAGUUGAAAUAUAAAAAAUCAUCAUACUUAUAUAUUUUUUUUCAUAAUUUCUCAACUAACUUUAAACACUUAAAAAAUAGCAUAGAUAAAAUGUAAAUAACUUAAAGUGGUAUAUACUUUUCUAUAGCUUUUUAUAUAUUAAUAUUUUAAUAAUUUAACUGUUAAAUAUAUUAAGAUAUUUUUACUUUGUCAUGCAUGUAAAUUUUUUAAUCGAUCCAAUAUCUCUAUAAAUAUUGUCUAUAUUAAUCUAUAUUUAAUGGCUAAAAAUUCUUUUACAUAAAAUAUUUAUAUGGAUUGAACACGUAAUUUAAUGGUUGGAUUAUUAAAAUAUUAAUCGUAUAAAAAAUUUAAAAAUGAUGUAAAAUCACUUAAAUUUUGCAAUGAUAUAAAUAGAAUCCUUCAAAAUAAUUUAUUUAAAUGUAUUUAUAUAUUUAAAUAACAAUUGAAGAAUGACUUUUAAAAAAAAAAAUCUAACAGGGAGAAUGAUUACAUAUUGGUUAAUAAGUCCCCUUCAGAAUAAUUGUAAGAGAACACAUUAAAAAACAAACAAAAGAUCAGUGGAAUUGGAAUAAUUGGCAAAACAAUUUCAGUUUCAAUUUCAUCUCCAUGAAUUUCAACAAUGAUGGAUAUGGCUAAAUCUCCGCCAAAUUAAACUACAUCUUUCCCUAUUCAUGAAAUUUAAUCUAUAGUUAUAUUAUUUUGGUAAGUGAUUCAAUUAUUUUAUUCAAAGAUAAAGAAUUAUGUAUGUAAAGUCAAUCAUUUUAUGACACAUUAAAGCAAAAUAGAGAUAUAGCGGUGGAAUUUAGCUGGGUUUAUAGGAGAAAUGUCCCUAGAUCAAACAUUUAGCGGUAUUUAGGGAUGUUUAAACAUUUAAUUAAUCAGUUAACUAAAUUGAAUUAGUAUCAACCGAAUUAAUCAAACUGAAAUAUUUUAGUUAAUUCAAUCGUUAACCAGAUUAAUUGAUUUUUUUUUGUUAACAUUAUUAUAAAACAUAUAAAAGAAAUAAAUUUAUAAUGUUCAUUUGACCGAAUUAACCGAACUAGUAAUAACCUAAUACAUAUAAUAUAUAAUAUUAUUUAUUAAGUUUGGUUAAUUUGAUUAAUUACUCGAUUUUAAACUGAAUUAAUCGUUAACCGAAAUUCUAAAAAAUCUUUAAUCAACCUCCGAAAAAAUUAGAUCGAUUAACCUAUCAUUAACCGAAUUAAAUUGGUUUAAUCAGUUAGUUAAAUUUUAACUGAAUUUUGAACAUCCGUAACUGUAUUUAUAAAAAAAAAAAAGUGCUAGAUUCAAAUCUUUAGUGGCGGUUAUGUUCAAAAACGUUGGGAAAACCUAAUCCCCUAAUACGGGAUAUUUGAUUUACCACGAAAUUGUUUUAGCGGUAUAAUUUUUGCAGUGUUUACUCAAGUAAGUGCUCAUGUACAAACGCUAUAAAAAAUUAUGAGUAAAAUAAAUGGUUUUUUUUUUAAAUUGUUACUUUUUUCACAUAGUUUUGGUGACAUUUAUAACUAAAACGGCAGGAUAUGUUUUAUGGUAAAAUUAUUUAACUAUAUAUAUUACAAUAUGUUCAUUAAUUAUUAGAAAAAAUAUAAUUAUUUUAAAAUGAUAUAAUUAGAAGAAAUAAAAUUAAUUUAGAAGAAAUCGAUGUAAAUAAUAACAUUCAUUUAAAAGUUUUCUUUUAUAUAAAUAAAGAAUAAAUGAUAAUUUAUAUUAAAAUUUAAAUCAAUAUUUUAAUAAAAUAAUUUAUAAAAAUAUUGAAUUACUUUAUAAAUCAUAUUUUCAUAAUAAAUUUUCUUCCUUCCCAUUCGUAUUUUUAAUCUUUAUUUAUGUUUGACAAUUUUUUUCAUAUUUAAACAAUAAUCUAAAAAGAAAUUAAAUUUUAUGUUAUCAUAAAAAUAAUGUAAAUAAUUUUUUUGUCAACUAUGGUAUCCAUCGCCGGUAGUAGUUACUAAUCCUCUCACCACAGAUGUUCUCUAAAGAGGAAAAUAAUUAACUAUGAAAUAUGCUCCAUUUUUAUGGGUAGGGAUAGAAUCCCCAACCUCAUGACUAAGAAAUGAGGUGAGCAACUACCACAUUACACCUUAUGGUUAAUAUAAACAUAUAUUUUUUAAAUUCUUAUUCUUAUGUGUUUAUAUAAUUUUCAUUUUUAUCAACGAACAUAAGUGGAUUUAGGGGGUUGACAGGGACCCUGACCCCAAUUAAAAUAGAAAAUUUACCAUUUUAGCCUUUUAAAUUUUUAAAAAAUUUAAAUUAGUAAAGAUUAAAUUGCACUUUGCCCCCUAAAAAUGAUAAAAAUUUGAUUUAAUCUUUUAAAAAUUAUAAAUAUAUAGACAAUUUAAUUUCUACCCACCUACAAUUUUUUCCUAGCUUUGCACCUAUCAACAAAUGCAAAUUUUAAGGUCUGCUUCGAGACAAUGUCAUUUUGAAUUGCAAAUUUUAUAAUUUAGCGACACUUUUGUGUUAAAAUGUUGUGAAUAGUAUAUCCAUUUACAUCAAUCAAGCUUUCUUCUCCAUGAUUCCCAAAAUCAAGUUCUAAAAUCCGAACUCCUAAAUCCUUAACCGCCACUCACAUCUGAUCAUUGCUCCAUCACCAUUAUCGUAUGCGUCUGUUGUUCGCUCAAUUGACUUCCAUCUCUAUCGCUCACUCAGUUGACUACCAUCUCUAUCACUUGCUUAAUUGACCAUCCAUUCCAUUGCUCGCUUAGUUGUCUGCUCGCUCCGUCGCUUGCUUAACUGACCAUCCAUUCCAUUGCUUGUUCAGUUGUCUGCUCGCUCCAUCACUUGCUUCGUGAACUGCUCCGCUGACAUCUUCGCCAAUAUUACUUGUUAUCGGUUUGCAAAUUUAGCAAGGGUAAGUGGUUCAAUAUUUUUUGCCAUCCCCUUUCCCUUUUUUUUCCUUCAAAAAUAUUGUUUGUUACAAAUUUGGCAUGUAAAUGACUUACCAUCAAUUAAUUUGAAUUUAUAUAUUUCCUCUAUUUAUUUAUCAAAAUUUAUAUUUUUCUCUACUUAUUUUUUAAAAAAUAAAAAUCAUCUCUUUAUUGUGCACACGCGCACACACAUAUAUUGUUGACCUAAACUAGUUGCUAAACCAUAAGAAACAAAGUAUGCAUAAGUGUAAAUAGAAGCGGGCACUUUUACUAAAAAUGUGACAACUACAAUAAAACAAGAGAGUAAAAUUGUUUAUGCAAUUCAGGUUCCCUACAUCUGUGGAGCUUAGCUCAGCAAGAUAAAUUCACUAUCUUUGAAACAAAUACGAUCAAUAAUCCUAGUUUCAACACACCACAGUGAAGAAUCCCCACUCUUGCAUCUAAAAGACUAUAACUCUUAUUAGGGUCUAGUGCCUUAAGUAGUUUAUUCGUCAUUUAUACUUUCAAUUUUUUUGAACAAAAUUGUUUAAAUAAAAUUUCAUUAUUCACAAUAAGUAUCAUUUGUAUUUGCCCUCAAAUAGUUUUGCAUGCAAAGCAAAAUGUAAGUAAAUAUUGAUUAUUGAUUACCAAAGGUAUAAUUAAUACUAACUUUAUUGAUUACCCAAUGUAUAAUUAAUCCUCAGUUUGGAAGUCCAUGGUUUGAUUAAUCGAAAUUAAGAAAAUUGGUCAAAGGACUAUUAUGUCAUCUAUCAAGACUAAACAGGGAGAUAUAUUGUGUUGGGUAUCAAAGUGGUUUACUUCUAGAAUAUAGAGAUAAAGAUGUAAUUGUCUAGAUUAACAAUGCAUCGGAUUAGACCCAAGUUGAAUUAAUCCUAGAUCCGUUUAUAGAUUAGUUCAUUUGUGAUGUUUAUAGUGUGGCUUAUCUCAAACCUAAUUAAGUGAUUGACUAUGUGCGCAUAACUCGUAUGCUUUGAUAUAUUAAAAGUCUGAAUUCAAAUAACUAAAUAGCAAAAAGUUGGUAUGUUAGGUAAACAACUUUUGCAUGACAUAACUUCAUUUAUAAUAGUGAAAUUCAUAGCCUAAUAAAGGGUAAAUGAUAUCUUUUGUAACACCCUUAACCCGUAUCCGUCGUCGGAAUAGGGUUUCGAAGCAUUACCAAGUAAUUGUAAUCUAAUCAUUCAUUUCAAACAUCAUAAAAUGAUUCAACAUUAACAUGCAUAAAGUAUCUUAAUAAGCCUUUGAGAGUUUGAAAACACUUUAGAAACGAUCUGAGACUAAAUCGGGAACAUUUGAAAAUUUUUAGAAAAAGUUAGAAAAUUUUUAACUGCAGGGUUCACACAGCCGUGUGGGCAUUCGAAGUAGGGACACACGGCCAUGUCCCAGCCUGUGUCUGUGCCCGUGUAACUUGGGUCACAUGGCCAGGCAACAUGCCCGUGUGCCAGGCCGUAUACCCUUUGAAAUGGCCUCGCACGCCCUUGUGAUAGACGUGUAUCUCACAUGCCCGUGUGCCUAGCCAUGUGGACCUAAAAUGAGCCUUAAAUAAAAAAUUUACCAAUUCCUAUAUGCUUGGACAUUAAACAACUCAAAAACCAUUCGUUUAACCUGUUCAAAACACGAUCAAACACAUUCAAAACAUGCCAAAAUAAUCAUACUAAGUGCCUAACCAAUGUAUCCUCAUUGGUACCACAUUUAUAUCAUCAAUUCAUAUCACCAAAGCAUUAUUAAAAUCCAAAUUAUAAACAUACCAAAUUCAAUCCAUUUUGCCUAGUUCAUAAGCACUUAUACAUCAACUUAAAUUCACAUGCACAUAUCUAGAUUUGGUUCAAAUUACCAUGCCAUAAUAUGGCUUCAAACACAAACACAUGUUUAUUAUAUAUACCAAACUAACAUUACAUUUAUAACCUCCUUUACAAUCCAUCUACAAAAUAACUAUCAUUUAGACAUCCUAAGUACAUGUCGACACAAAAGAUAAACAUCACCACAUUUGAGUUCGGGAUCGUUGUUGGAUGUUGAAUCAGCGAUCAAAAGUGAAGUACCUAAUUUGCACACAGAAAAACAAAAUUGUUUGCUGAGUAAAACUCAAUGGUAUUUCAAUAAUCCGAACAUGUAAAGACAAUAUAAUAUAGUAUGCACAAUUGAAUUAUAAACACAUAUUAAUGUCUAGUAUCAUAACUAUCAUAUACUAGUCUUUGUAAUUCAUACAUAUUAGCAUAUCACUUCAUAUUAUAUUCAAUUUACAAAUGCUAUCAUAUUUCAUUUGUUAAACAAUUUCCCUAUUCACACAAUUGCUAUAUAAAUAGCUAUUCACAUAUCAAACCAGAUUUAUUUGUAAAAGGGCAUUAGGCAUUCAAUAUUCAAUUCAUGAAUACAUCAUUUCAUACCAUACUCAAUUCUCAUCACUUGCUAUAUAAUAUCUUUUCACAAUUUGAUCCAAAUAUCAUUUAAACAAUAACAUUAUCUAUUCCAUUUCCAAUUCAUGAGUACAUAACUCAUGUAUCUCGUUUUUAUGUUUCAAAUCACUAUCCCAAUUUCAAUUCACAUACAAUAUCAUCCAAUAUCAAUCAUAGUACCAUUUAUUUAAUUACCCUUAUUAACACGACUCGGACUUAGACAGAUACACAGAUCCAACCAACACACUAGUUUGGCACCUAGUGCUUCAUCGGAUCAAUCCGAAGUAAUAUGCGCUCAGCGCUAUAUACAUUGACACUUAGUGUCUCAUCGGUUAAACCGAAGUAAAUUGGCACCCAGUGCCUCAUCGACUCGAGGUCGAAGUAAUCCCUAAACUCUUCCUAUCCUAUGGCAUGCCAUCUAUAUCUGACUUAGCCCGAUACAGUUAAUAGGGUUUAAUUUCACAUUUCAGAUAUAACCAAUAUCCAAUACUAAUUUUUUAUAUAAACACAUAUAUACACAUAAAUUAAAUUCAAUCUAUAAUAAUCAAUAUCCAACUUUCACAUUAACACAUAUAUUCAUUUCCAUUCAAUAAUUAGUACAUUCAAUAUGUAUCUACCUUUUCAAUCCAUUUCAAUCAAUUAUUAAAAUGUUAAUUACUCACCUCAACAAUUACCAUAUGCAUUAAAUUGAAUUAUAAAAAUUAACAACUAAAUUUGGAUUAUAGAAAUACAGACCAAGAAUUUCGAGCUAUUCGACGUCGAUUUUAUCUUUCACCUUUUUAGUCGAGGAUUCUGGUACAAUGUUAGCUACGAAAUUAAAACAAUUAAAAUUCAUCAAUACAAUAAAAUUUCAAUUUCAUAUUAAAUUUUGAAUAUUUAAAUUUUUACUCAAUAUUUGUCUAAAUUCCAAUUUAGUCCCUAAAUUGAGACUAAUUUUUAUUCUUCAUAUUUAAUUCUAUAUUUUCAUGCAAAUUCCACUUUAAACUAAAUUUUGACUCCCUAUUUUCAUUUAAACCCCUAAAUUUCAAAAUUUUUACAAUUUAGUCCCUAACCCUCAAAUUUUACAAUUUGUUCAACAAUUUAAUCCUUUUCCAUUUCUAACUUAAAAAUCUAUCAAUUUAUUCCCUAAUACAAAAAUUAUUCAACAUUGACAACACUUAAAAACUUAACAAUUGCUAAAAUUUCAACAUGGCUUGGGUAACUAAGUACCGAGAUUCCAAAAACAUAAAAAUUACAAGAAAAAGGACUAAAUUGACUAACCAAUUGAACUUUGGAAAUUUGGAGCCUUAAGAUCGUGUGUUGCCUUCUUUUCUUCUUUCUUUUUCUUUCUUAAUUUGUAUGGCUUUCUCUCUUUUUUUUAUUUAUUUUAUUCUAAAUUAAUUAAUUAUUAUAUAAUAUAUAUACAUUUAUUUAUAUUAAGUUUUCUUAAUAUUAUAAUAUAUUUUAACUUUAACUAUUAUAAUAUAUAAAAUAAAUUUACACAUAUAAGUCACUAAUACCGUCCACUUAAUGGAAUAAUGUAUAAUUGCUUCGUUUGUCGCUUUCUCAACACUAUGACUACGUCAUAGUACUUUCACUAACGAAACUCGCGUAUUACGCAACUCUUUCACCUCACACGCCAAAAUUUCAACCGAUUCUUCUUCAUAUGAAAAAUCAGGUUGAAUCUCAAUAUUUUCAGUCAAAAUAACGUGAGAUGGAUCCAACCGAUAUCUUCUAAACAUUGAAAUAUGGAAAACGUCAUGCAUUUUCUGUAGUUCCGCAGGUAAAGUUAAACGAUAUGAAACUUGUCCCACUCUUUUCGUUAUCUCAUACGGUCCGAUAAAACGAGGACUUAGUUUCCCUUUUUGACCAAAUCUAAAAAUUUUCUUCCAAUGUGAAACUUUAAGAAAUAUUUUAUUGCCAACAGAAUAUUCAAUAUCUCGACAUUUUAAAUCUGCAUAUGAUUUCUGUUUAUCGAAAGUUGUCUUCAAUCUAUCUCGAAUUUUCUUAAUAAUGUCUUCCGUUUCUUAAAUUAAUUUCGGCACAAUCAUUCUUCUUUCACUUAAUUCCAUCCAACAAACAAGUGUUCGACACCUAUGACUGUAUUCAUUCGGAGCCAUUUGAAUACUUGAUUGAAAACUAUUAUAGUAUACAAAUUCGGCCAAAGGUAAGUUACGAUCCCAUCCCGAUUCAAAAUCAACAACACAAGUACGAAGCGUGUCCUCCAAAAUCUGAAUAACACACCCAGAUUGUCCAUUAAUCUGUGGGUGAAAACUUGUGCUAAAAUUAAGUCGCGUACCAAAAUAUUCGUGCAACUGUUUCCAAAAUCUCAAAGUGAAUCGCGGAUCUCGAUCAGAGGUUAUCGAUAUAGGGAUAUCGUGCAAUCUCAUGAUUUAUCUAAUAUAAACUUUAGCAAGCUUUUACUAUGAAAUGAGCUGAUUUCAUAAGUCAAUCAACAAUCACCCAUACAACAUUUUUCUUACUUGUUGAUAAAGGUAACCCAGUUACAAAAUCCAUCGUGAUACGAUCCCAUUUCCAUUCAGGAAUAGAAAUAGGCUGAAGUAAUCCGGUUGGAACCUGAUGUUCUGCCUUAACUCGCUGACAAGUUAAACAUUUAGCCAUAUAUUUGACCACGUCUCUUUUUAUUCCUGGCCACUAAUAAGAUUCUCGCAAAUCGCGAUACAUUUUCAUUUCUCCAAGUUGCAAAGCAAAAGGACUGUUAUGAGCUUCACUAAGUAUCAACUCUUUUAAAUUAGAAACAUUUGGAACACAGAUUCGAUUAUGAAAUCUCAAGCAACCACAAUCAUCAAUGCUAAAAUUUUCUACUAUACCAUUCUGAACAAUUUCUCUUUUCUACGUCAACUUGUCAUCAUCUAACCACGCUAACUUGAUCCGAUCAAAUAUCACCGUUUGAUCUUUAAUUCAACCAAUAGGCUUUCAUCGUUAUUGAUACUGAGUUGAGUAAACAUUACUCGCAAUUCAACCACUACUUUUCUACUCAAUGCAUCAGCUACAACGUUAGCUUUACCAGGGUGGUAAUCAAUAACACAAUCAAAAUCUUUCAGAAGCUCUACCCAAUGAUACUGCCUCAAAUUCAACUCCUUUUGAGAUAGGAGGUAUUUGAGACUCUUAUGAUCAGUAUAGAUAUGACACUUUUAGCCGUACAGGUAGUGUCUCCAGAUCCUUAGAGCAAAAACCACAACAGCUAUCUCUAUAUCAUGCGUCGGAUAAUUACAUUCAUGCGUUUUUAACUGACAAGAUGCAUAAGCGAUCAAUUUCCUGUAUUGCAUCAAAACAUAACCAAGACUGCUCAAUGAAGCAUCACUAUAAACGAUAAAAUUCUUUCUUGAUUUUGGUAAAGUCAAAACCGACGCUUCAGUCAACAUCUGCUUCAAUUUCUCAAAGCUUUCUUAACACUGAUCAUCCUAGACGAAUUGAACAUUCUUAUGUAACAACUUUGUCAUCAACAAAGCUAUAUUCGAAAAUCCAUUUACAAAUCUUUGAUAAUAACCAACUAGUCCAAGAAAACUACGAACCUUUGAUACAUUCACCGGUGCUUUCCACUGAACAAUUACCUUGAUUUUUUUCGAAUCAACUCUAAUUCCAUUUGCCAAGAUAACAUGAUCCAGAAAUACAACAUCUGGUAACAAGAAUUCACGCUUACUAAGUUUUUCGUAUAAUCGUUUCUCUCGUAACACUUGCAAAACAAUUUUGAGAUGUUGCUUAUGUUCGGAUUCAGAUUUCGAACAGAUCAAAAUAUCAUCAAUAAAAACUACCACAAAUUAAUCUAAAUAUGGUUGGAAAGUACGAUUCAUAAGGUCCAUAAAUGUCGCCGGUGUGUUCAUCAACCCAAAAGGCAUUACUAAGAAUUCAUAAUGGCCAUAACGUGUACGAAAUGUUGUCUUCGGUACAUCAUUAUCUUUCACUUUCAACUGAUAGUAACCUGAUCUUAAAUCGAUCUUUGAAAAGACAAAAGCUCCUUUUAGUUGAUCGAAUAAGUCAUCAAUAUAGGGUAGAGGGUAUCGAUUCUUAAUCGUCAACUUAUUCAAUUGCCGAUAGUUAAUACAAAGCCGCAUCGAGCCAUAUUUCUUUUUGACAAAAAGCACUGGAGCUCCCCAAGGCGAUAUACUAGGGCAUAUAAAGCCACGAUCCUAUAAGUCUUGCAAUUGUAAUUUUAAAUCUUUCAACUCCGUAAGUGUCAUACGAUAGAGAGACAUUGACAUCGGAGCCGUACUAGAAAACACUUCAAUUGCAAACUCAACUUCCCGAUCUGGUGGUAAUCCCAGUAAUUCCUCGAGAAAUACAUCAGGGAAUUCACAGAAAGUUCAAAUUUUUCUCAUUGAUUAUCACCAGAAUUCGAAUUGAUAGCAUAGACUAGAAAAGCUUCACAACCUUGAUUAAGAAGUUUAUCAGCUCGAAUUGCUAAAAUGAUACGAGUUGAACCACUCGUUCGAACACCAUUCACCUCAAUUAUAUUACCGUUUUCACUCUGAACAAUAAACUUCUUUUUACAACAAUCCAAAAUCACCCCGUAUUCCGUAAGCCUGUAAUGACCCAAGAUUCACGGGCACGGGAAAAGUACAGUAUCGAGCCUCCGUCUUAAUAAACCGAAUUAGUAAAUAAUUAUUAGGAGUAAUUAUGAGUCUAGUAGUGAGCUUAAUUAAGUUUUAAUUAGGUGAAUUUAGCUUAAUUAAUAGUAAUUAGAAAAAAAGACUAAAUUGAAUAAGGGGUAAAAGUCUAAUUAUAGAUUAAUAGGAAAUAACAAGGACCACAUAGACAACUAAGCCUAUUUGGGAAGAUGAGGCGGCAAAAUGGAGUAAAAUAUAAAUAUUUAAUUUAGUUAUAAAAUUUUAUUAAAUCAAUUUAAAAUAAUUAGAUUUUUCUAUGAUAAAUAUAGUAUGAUUUUGACAAGUGAAUGGUAAUAAAAAUAUACAAAUGUAAUAAUAAUAUGUAUACAAUUGUAACAUAAAUAUUUAAUUACUUUUUAUUUAAGUAAAUAGAUAUUUAUUACUUAUUAUUAUUAAGUUAAAAGAUAUUUAUUUAUUAAUUAAAUAAUUAUAUUAUAGAUUUUCAUGUGAUAAAUAAAUUAAAUGGUGAAAACUGUAUUAAUAAAAAUACAUACAUUUGCAGUAUAUACAAUAAUUAUGAAAUAGAUAUUUAUUAUAUUAUUGUUAUAAUUAUUAUUAUUAUUAUUAUUAUAAAUAAAUUAAAUUAUGACAAAUGUAGGGUGGAGAUAAAAUACAUGUGCAAUAAUAUGUAUAAUACAAUUAUAAUACAUGUAUUGUUUAUUAAAAUAGAUAUUUAUUAUUUAUUUAUUUUUAUUGAAUAAAAUAUAUUUAUUAGAUAAAUAAUUAUUAUAUAAGAUUUUUAUAUGACAAACUAAUUAAAAGGUGAAAAAUGUAAUAUAAAUAUUUGUUAAUAAAAAGAUAUUUAUUAUAAUUAUUAUUAUUAUUACUAAUUAGUAUAUAUUAUAUAUAUAUAAGAAAUGAAACAAAGGAUAAAAGAAAAAAAGGCAUUCGAAGCAGAGCACGAAAAAGAAAGAAAGAAAAGAAAAAGGAAAAAUUAGGGGUUUAAGUUUUAAAGCUUUGAUUGGUAAGUCAAUUAAGCCCUUUUUAUUUAAUUUUGAUGUUUUAGAAGAUUUAAAACAAAGUUUUGUUGAAAUAAAGUUGAGGUUUUGGAAGUUCAUAGGUUUUUAAGCAUGGUUCAUGCUGAACAAAUUGUUGAAUUAGGGAUUUAAUUGAAUGAAUUUCAAGUUAGAAUUGAUGAAGGGAUUAAAUUGUAAAAGAAGAUAUAAGUUUUAUGUUAGAGGGACUAAAUUGAAAGAAACUUGAGAUUAGAGUUUUAAUAUGAAUAUUUGAUGGUUAGGGUGAAUAUGAUAGGAAAUUGAAUAGAAAUGAAGUAUGAAUUGAGUUAUAAAAGUAAAUGAGUUAAUUAGGAUCAAAUUGAAAUCAAUGUUUGAAUUAAAUAGAAAUUCAAUUAUUUAUUGUGAAUUAGUGCUGUAUUAAUAGUAUAAAUUAUUUUAAUUUUCGUAGCUAACAAGGAACCCGAGGCAUCGACAUCAAAAGGAAAGGAAAAAGUUGUCGAGGAGUAACCGAAUAAAUCUGGGUUUGUAUUACUAUAAUUCAAGUUAUUUUUAUUAAAUAUUAAAUUUUUAAUUAUAUGCAUGGUAAGUAAAUUAUGAGGUAAGUAUUAUUAUGAAAUUGAAAAGGAAAAUGAAUUGGUAAUGGAUAAGUAUUGAUAUAGAAUUGUAUAUUGAUGAAAUGUGAAAUUGAAUUGAUUCGUAAAUGAAUUGAAUUUGAUAUUGAAUUGAGAAAGUGAAUCGAAUACCCUAUUAACUAGUUGGGCAUGCCAUAGAAUUGGAAGUGUUCAAGGAUGCUUCGACCUCGAGUCGAUGAGACAGGGUGUCACUAUAUUACUUCGGAUAAAUUCGAUGAGGUACUGGGUACCAACUUACUUUAGCUUGGCUGAUGAGACACUGGGUGUCAAUUAUUUGCUUCAAACUAUCCGAUGAGGCACUGGGUGCCAUACUAAAGUGUUUGGUUGGAUCUGUGUAUCUGCCAAAGUCCGAGUCUGUUAAUAGGGGUAAUUGAAGGAAAGAUUAAACUGAAUAAAAUUAAUUGGUUAAGCCAUUGAAUGAAAUGUGAAAAUGGAACGUGAAUAAAAAAAAUGUCAUUUGAAUGUGAGUAUGAGAAUGGAAAGUAUGAACCAAUGGUUCAUGAGAUGGAUAAUGGCACAACAUGAAUGUUUAUGAUUUCAAUUGUUGAUUUGCUAAAUUGAAUUGUAUGAAUAUAUUGAGAAUGACAAAUUUAUGUUUGAAUUAGUUUAGUAAAAAAAGAGAAAAUAAAUAAAUAAAGUUAUAUGAUUUAAUGAUAUGAUUAUUAUGUUUAUAAUUUGAAUUAUGGUAAUACCACUGAGUAUAAAAUACUCAGCGUACGAUUUUUUCGUGUGCAGGUUAAUAGGUAUUCAGAGUCUCGGUUCAGCAUCUAGGUGAUCCAGAUUCCAGCGCAAAACUCAGUGAUAUAUUCUUCUUUUGGUAAAAGUGGCAUGUACAUAGGUGUUAAUUUGGUCACUUUAAAAUGCUAUAUGAUUUUUGUUGUAAAGAAUGGUAUUUGGUAUUUUGGUGUUGAAACUAAUGAAAUGGUAUGAAAAUUUAUAUGAUAUACAUGGUAUAAUUGGUGCUAAAUUUAGAAUGGAUGAAUAAAAUUCUAAUUUAAUUUUUAAUGGUAGCAUAAAUGUUCAUAAAGUAAAUUAUCAAAUUAAUGUUAUAGGUAUGAUUUUAAUACAAUUAAACAUGAAAUUGCAUUGGUUGAAAUAUUGGUUCUGGAUUGGUUCCGAUUUGAAAUUGCAGAGAAUGUUAGAUAUUUAUGAAGGGGUUAUAUUGAGUUAAAAAAAAAAUCCUCAGAGCAUCCAAACAAAUCCCGAUUCCCUUCAAAUACGUAUUUUAGGAUUUGAGUGUCCAAUUAAGGGACUUUAUAAUUAUUUUAUAAUAUAAUAUGUUCGAUAAUUAUUUGAAUAUAAAUCGUAAAUUUUUCGAUUGUUCGGUAAUGCCUCGUAACCCAGUUUCGGUGACAGUUUAGGGUUAGGGGGUGUUACAAAGCCAAUCCAUGCCCAAAAUCUUAUUAAAAUCGUCAAACAACAUUAUCAACAAAUCAACAGGGAAGGUUAUAUUCUGUAUCACUAACGGACAUCUUCUACACACCUUAUCCACUAACACAGAUUGUCCUAAUGGACUAAAUACCACUAUCGGUACUCUAGACGUCUCAGAUUUUAAACUUUCCGACAUAACCAAUUUAGUAUUAACAUAUGAAUGCAAAGAUCCUAUAUUUAUCAAAGCAUAAAUAGGUUCUGGAUGUAAUAAAAAGAUACAUGUCACAAUGUCAUUAGCAUCGCUAUCCUUACGAGUCCGCACAACAUAAGCUCGGGCUGGCAUUCUGGCCUCUGAUUGAUAAGUAACAGCAUCAUUUCCCUUUCUAGCACCCCUUCUCGAAUAUGAACCACUUCGACUCAACCUGCAACCCCUAGGAGUAGGCAUAGAUCUUUGAGAAGUAACAGGUGUAGCUUUCUCAUUCUUCAGACACUUUCGAGCAAAAUGUUCCAUAGAUCCACAGCGAAAACAACCUCGAGUUAACUUCCAGCAUUCACCAUGGGGCUUUUUCCGGCAGUGCUCACAAUUUGGGAUAUCAAUAUCCCUAGAUGGACCUCGCACACUACCCGUAGAUACAGUCAGUUGUCUAUCACAAUUUCUAUUAGUUCUAUCUAACUUAAAAUUUGAUCUCCAGCUACCACAAAAUUCUUUUGAUCUCUUCGGUUGUGGAUUUGAACUCGCAGCUCCAGGACACUUUCCAACAGUACGGGUAUUUUUAGUCUUUUUAUCAAAGCCCUAAACUUGUUCUACCAUUCUUGCUCGUUCAAUUAGAUCCAAAAACUCAGUAAUUUUGUGCGAUACUAACUGUACUCGCAACUCAUCGCGUAAACCAUAUAGAAUUCGCUUGCAACUAUCAAUUUCAUUCAGCACAAAUUCAACAACGUACUACUAAGUCACGAAAACUCUCAUUCAUAAUCAACCACAGACAUCCCACUUUGUUUCAGUAUAAAAAACUCUUGUCUUCUAUCUUUGAUAUACAAUUCGCCAACAUAUUUCUUUUGGAAUUCGUUUUAAAAGAAUUCCCAAUUAGGCUGAUAUGUAGAUACAUGACGUGUCACUGACUGCCGCCAGGUAUAUGUUUCUCCUUGCAAUAGAGAAACAACACAUAUUACGUUUCAUACGAGUUGCAUUCAAGUUGUUACAAGAUGUGUUUAGUGGAUUCAAUCCAAACUUCAGCUGUAGAAGGAUCAACUUCUUUCAAUCCUAUGAAUUUAGUCACACCGUAUCUAUACAAAUCUUUAAUCGGAGCUCGACGAAUAUUAGGUGCAGAUACUGUAGCGGAUGUGGUUCCCACCACAGGCUGAAGAGCAUCAGCAAUAGCUCUAAGUAACUGUGAAUCACCUCCUCCCUUAGUAUAUUACCUUGUUCAACGUUAGGUUGUUGAGUACUAACUGGAUUAACACUUGGUGUUACCGAUUCGGUUCCAUCUAACUCAUUAGAGACAUCAUCUCCGGUAUACAUCCAUUGAUCAACGUCGUUAUUAUAAUCAUUCAACAUUUUCAACUAUAAAACAAAAACAAAUAUAUCUUCAACUCAAUUAUGGCAUGUACCUCUAGACUCAAUUCCAAACUUGAUUUAGUCUGAGAACCAGCUAAACCUGUAAAGCUCUGAUACCACUAACCCAUAUCCGUCGUUGGAAUAGGGUUUCAGAGCAUUACCAAGUAAUCGUAAUCUAAUCAUUUAUUUCAAACAUUUCAAAAAUCAUAAAACAAUUCCACAUUAACAUGCAUAAAGUCCCUUAAUAAGCCUUUGAGAGUUUGAAAACACUUUAGAAAUGAUUUGAGACUAAAUCGGAAAAAUCUGAAAAUUUUUGAAAAAAGUUCAAAAAUUUUUAACUGCAAGGUUUAAACGACUGUCACAUGGCCAAGUCAUACGCCCGUGUGUCUGGCCAUGUCGGCAUUCGAAGUAGGGAUACACAACCGUUUCUGUGCUUGUGUAACUCUCUGACUUAGGUCACACGACCAAGCCACACACUCGUGUGCCAGGCCGUGUACCCUUUGAAAUGGCCUCGCACGCCCUUGUGUUAGCCGUGUGUCUCACACGGCCAAGUCAUACACCCGUGUGUCUAGCUGUGUGGACCUAAAAUAUGCCUUAAACAAGAAAUUUACCAAUUCCUAUAUGCUUGGACAUUAAACAACUCAAAACCAUUCGUUUAACCUGUUCAAAACACAAUCAAACACAUUCAAAUUAUGCCAAAAUAAUCAUCCUAGGUGCCUAACCAAUGUAUCCUCAUUGGUACCACGUUUAUAUCAUCAAUUCAUAUCACCAAAGCAUCAUUCAAAUCCAAAUUAUAAACAUACCAAAUUCAAUCCAUUUUGCCUAGUUCAUAAGCACUUAAACAUCAACUUAAAUUCACAUGCACAUAUCUAGAUUUGGUUCAAAUUACCAUGCCAUAUAUGGCUUCAAACACAAACACAUGUUUAUAUGUAUAUACCAAACCAAAAUUACAUUUAUAACCUUAUUUACAAUCCUUCCACAAAAUAACUAUCAUUUAAACAUCCUAGGUACAUGGCGACACAAAAGAUAAACAUCACCACAUUUGAGUUCGGGAUCGUUGUUGGAUGUUGAAUCGGCGAUCAAAAGUGAAGUACUUAAUUUACGCACGGAAAAACAAAAUGGUACACUUAGCAAAACUCAAUGGUAUUUCAAUAAUCUGAACAUGUAAAGACAAGAUAAUAUAAUAUGCACAAUUGAAUUAUAAGCAAAUAUUAAUUUCUAGUAUCAUAACUAUCAUAUGCUAGUCUUUUUAAUUCAUACAUAUUAGCAUAUCACUUUAUAUUAUAUUCAACUUUCACAUGCUAUCAUAUUUCAUUUGUUAAACAAUGUCCCAAUUCACACAAUUGUUAUAUAAAUAGUUAUUCACAUAUCAAACCACAUUUAUUUGUACAAUAGAAUUAGCCAUUCAAUACUCAAUUCAUGAAUACAUCAUUUCAUACCAUACUCAAUUCUCAUCACUUGCUAUGUAAUAGCUUUUCACAAUUUGAUCCACAUGUCAUUUAAAAAAUUACCAUUAUUCAUUCCAUAUCCAAUUCACGAGUACAUAACUCAUGUAUCUAUUUUUUAUGUUUCAAACCACUAUCCCAAUUUUAAUUCACAUACAAUAUCAUCUAAUAUCAAUUAUAGUACCAUUUAUUUAAGUACCCCUAUUAACACGACUCGGACUCAAAUGGAUACACAGAUCCAACCAACACAUUAGUUUGGCUCCCAGUACCUCAUUGGAUAAAUCCGAAGUCAUAUGUGCUCAGCGCUAUAUACAUUAACACUCAGUGUCUCAUCGGUUAGGCCGAAGUAAAUUGGCACCCAAUACUCAUCGAGUCGAGGUCAAAGUAAUCCCUGAACUCUUCCUAUCCUAUGGUAUGCAAACUAUAACUGACUCUGCCCGAUGCAGUUACUAGGGUUUAAUUUCACAUUUCAGAUGUAACCAAUAUCCAAUACUAAUUUAUCAUAUAAUCACAUAUAUACACAUAAAUUAAAUUCAAUCUAUAAUAAUCAAUAUCCAACUUUCAUAUUAACACAUAUAUUCAUUUCAAUUCAAUAAUCAAUACAUUCAAUAUGUAUCUACCAAUUCAAUCCAUUUCAAUCAAUUAUCAAAAUGUCAAUUACUCACCUCAACAAUUACCAUAUGCAUUAAAUUAAAUUAUAACAAUUAAUAACUAAGUUCGGAUUAUAGAAAUACAAACUAGGAAUUCUGAGCUAUUCGACGUCGAUUUUAUCUUUCACCUUUUUAGUCGAGGAUUCCGGUACGACGUUAGCUACGGAAUUAAAACAAUAAAAAUUAAUCAAUACAAUAAAAUUUCAAUUUCAUAUUGAAUUUUGAAUAUUUAAAAUUUUACUCAAUAUUUUUCUAAAUUCCAAUUUAGUCCCUAAACC